UCAGUGACUCCUAAUUGGUUGUUAACCAGGUCACCAACAACUUUGAUGUUAAGGAUAGCUUCAUGGCAGCAUAUCUGGCACAAACACAAUUGUUGCUCAAACACUUCCACUACCAGAUCACCUAAAUUCCUUGAGCGGCAAACAAUCAUGCAGAUGUUUUGGCUCACCUCGCCUCAGCGGUGGAAGACAAGAUUAGGAGAAAAAUUCAGGUCGAAUUGUUGGCAGCACCAAGCACCAUGGCUGCGGAAGUGUGCAACUUACAACAGGGGGAUAGUUGGAUUACCCCGAUUUAUAGAUUCCUUGCUCAUGGCACCCUUCUAGAUGAUAAAGUCCAAGCUAAGCAGAUUCGAUACAAGGCUACCCGUUACUUGAUCAUUAAUGACCAACUCUACAAGCAGGGUUUUAACCUGCCAUACCUAAGAUGCCUUACGCCCGCGGAGGCGAAAACUGUCAUUCGGGAAAUACAUGAAGGAGUCUGCGGAGAUCAUGAUGGAUUUCGAUCCCUACCACACAAGGCUUUUUGCCAAGGAUAUUACUGGCCAACACUCUAUCAAGAUGCCAUCAGAAUAUCUCGCUUAUGUGAUAAGUGUCAACGCUACGCAACUAUUCCUUACUCUCUUCCCGAGCCGCUCACUCCUAUGAUCAGCCCUUGGCCCUUCGCCCAAUGGGGACUUGAUUUGAUUGGCCCAAUGCCUACAGGGAAGGGCAAGGUCCGCUAUGCAAUCGUUGCAGUUGAUUACUUCACAAAGUGGGUUGAAGUAGAACCUUUGGCAACUAUUACUGAGGCAAAAAAUAGAAGACUUCGUAUGAAGGAACAUCCUUUGCAGAAUCGACAUUCCUAAUGCGAUAGUCACUGACAACGGGCGGUAAUUGGACAACAAUAAGUUCAGGAUGUUCUGCUCUAAGUUCAACAUCAACUUAUGUUUUGCCUCCCCAGCUCAUCCCCAGUCUAAUGGAUAAGUUGAAGCCAUCAACAAAAUAAUGAAGCGAACUUUGAAAACUAGCUUGGACAAGGCUAAAGGUUGUUGGCCAGAAUUUAUACCCCAAGUUCUUUGGUCAUACCACACUUCGUAUCGGACGUCAACAAGAGAAACCCCAUUCUCACUUGCCUUUAGUACAGAGGCAGUUGUCCUAGUGGAACUUGAGCAAGCAAUGUUUCGAGUCAAGAACUACAUGCAAAGCAAAAAUGACAAACAACUUACCCUUAACUUAAAUCUAGUCGAGGAACACAGAAACCAGGCUCACUUGAGGAAUGUCGCCUAUAAGUAGCGUAUCUCCAUUUACUAUGACUCAAGGGUCAAACCUCGUUCUUUCAAAGUGGGGGACUGGGUAUUGAAGAAAAGAUUACUCUGCGACAGAGUCCCGAGUGAAGGAACACUUAGUCCAAACUGGGAUGGACCGUUUGAAGUUGUUGGCAUCGGUCGCCAUGGCUCCUACAAGUUUAUAAGCUCCAAUGGCAAGACCCUUGGCCAUCCAUGUAACGCUGAUCACUUGAAGUACUAUUACAAGUAAACUCACAUUGUACAAGUGUUAAGCUUCAGCCGUUCGACAUCCUAUGUAACGAAGACCAUUUGGCAUGAAUUCAAUAAAGAGGUGAUUUAGACAACUCAAUCCUAAUCCUCUUACAUUCCUAGCAAUGAAACACUCGGGUUCAAAGCUUCAACAUGAAUGCUCCCAACAGGAAAUAAAGUUUAAGUAUAUGUCAACAAGACUAUACAAAUACGAACAACUUCACAGUGUAUUCGUUCAAUCUGACCCAAGUUAUGGCUUAUAUCAAACAAAGGAUUUGCUCAAAUAUAGCCAGGCAUUCAUCAAUGAUGGUGCAAAUACUUGGUAAUUAACAUCAAACUAUACGGCGUAAAGUUGUAAGCAUCCAUAAAUAAAAAGCUCUCAGGCUUACAACAUGGCACAUGCCAUACAAAUAACAAACUAGUACAUCCAGAGUACAUGGCACAUGCAUCAAAAACAACAAACUAGUACAUCUAGAGUACAUGGCACAUGCCACACAAACAACAAACUCAUACAUCCAGAGUACAUAUAGAAAAAGAGGGCACUACGAGUCAUCCUCAUCUGAGGCCGAACCCUUGACAAUAUCACUUUACGUUUCAACCCCAUUGCCAUCACCACCUUCCUCAGCAUCCCCAGGACCAUCCUCACUCUCCUGAGACUGCUCACUGAUACUAGCCUCAUUAUCAAAGUCAUCAUCACUACUAGGAUCAACUGCGAUGACGAAAGCUUCACCUUUUUGUCGGUACUCAUCCAUCUCAUCACGGUACUUUCGGAUAAUUCUUCCAUUGUCGUAACGCUCAAUGACGGCCAUCCAUUUCCUUUUCUCAAAAUUAGCCGCCCGGAUGCAGUGAGGUCUAAAGGCAUCGUGAAAGGCCAGGGAACCUAAAAACUCAUGCACAACAGCAUCCCUCUCAGUUGGGAUACUCCUCUUCAGCCCAAAAACCUCAACCAAGGCACUAUCCAACUCCCCUUUAACCUUGGAAACCUCAAGGAUGGUUGUCUCCAACUGUUCCUUAGUCGUUUCCAAUUGUUUCUUGAGCCUCACGUUCUCACCAUUCCGCCUUUUCAAACUCUCAAAGUUUUCAUCCUUAAGGCGGAUGGCAUCAGCCAAAGCUUUGCUCAUUUUUUUGGUGUCAUUCACAAGCUGCUUAUUCUCUUUAAACUUUACCUUGUACCGCUCGACCUCUCGUAAUCUGUCAUUGUACUCGGUCAUGACCUACAUGACAAGAUGAUUGUCACUACCAAGAAAAAGAGGGGAGAAAGCAAAGAAAUGACAGAGUAACACUUACAUAAGAAGAUAGCCUUAUCAUCCGGUCACGAUCUGAUUCGUUCUCAUCUAGCGGCUCACCAAGCUCAUUAACAGUGGAUCGACGUCCUGCCAGGCAAUUAUUGACAUACCUAAAACUACUUGGCUGUAUGGCAACUUUCAAGUUCUUCCAAUAAAUGUUGCCAACCUCUUCCUUGUACUUUCUUUUAUGGCUAGAGCUAGGGCCACCUUCUUGGUCAGUAGACUCCAUGGUUGGAGAAAAUAUGGGAUUGAUGGUAAAAAGAGGAGGCAACAAUCGUCUUUCCUCCUAUACAACUAUGGCAGCAGCACACCCGAUGGCCUCAGCUUCAGCCUUUCUUGAGGCAGCAAUCUUGAGGACCUUCUCUUGUGACUUAGGUUUAGGGGUUGGCCUCACCCGAUGCUUACGAGCUCUCUUGUGAAACAAAAUGUCGUCUACGGGAACUAACAUGGGUGCUUUCUCUUUAUUGGCACUAGUCUCCCCUUUCUUGCCCACUUUCUCCACUGAACAAGAAAAAUUAAAGUAAGGAAUGCAACUUUGUAAAAGAAAGAGGGGACGAAAUGAAAGACACAACUUACUUGCUCGUCUCUGGCACUCCGACACUAGGGGUUGGAAACUAUACUUUCGAAAUAAGGGUCGUAGCUUGCCCAAAUGUCUAUCCUCUUUAGGCACCCUCAACAUCUUCUCUACGUCAGCUAGCUUCCGUCCGGACAGCUUGAUGGUUUCUCGCGUCACUGCACGGAGAAAAAUGUUAGAAGCAAGAGAAAAUCACAACAAAUAGCAAAUAAUGCAAACAAGGGAUACAUUACAACCUACAGUCUGGAAGUGAGUAGGAACACGUCGCUCAGGCGUUACACCUUUAGCAUACUCCCAAUCAUUUUAAAGAAAGCACCAACAGUUUUUCCAAGUGCAAUACACAUUUUUCUUACCAAAGACAAUACGCUCUCUCUCACUCCAACAUGCACACUCGGUAUACCUAGUGCAUGCUUUCACCGGGCGCAUCUUAUAGCAGUAGCGCCACUGAUGAAAGGAAGGCUCACCUAACCCACAUUCCAUCCAAAUAAUAUAAAACCCGAUCAAGGUAUCCCAAAAACCAGGGUAGAGUUGGCUAGACGCAUAUCCAAUGAAAGACAACAUCUGUUGCAACCACGGGUGCAAAGGCAGCUUCACCCCUAAAAUCAAUAAUAUCUGGGUAUAGAACAUAACAUGACCUUUGGGCGGUUUAUAGGACAAUUCUUCAUGAUGCACCAAACGCAUUCCUACACUACGGGGGAUACAACAUGACUGCCUUAGGGCCUCAAGCUGUUUUUCGCUAUCUAACAAGUUUUGCACUAAAUGGUCUGCUGUGAACUCAAAGCGAAAUAUGGGUAUGGCGUCACAAACAACCCCCUCACCCAAUCUCGAAUUUUUUUUGUACAAGACUUCAACAAAGGCCCUGAAGACUCCAACAUUGCAAGCUCAAACCUAGAGUUAGAGUUAGGGGAGCCCUCAUCACUAGGACUUCCAAACUCUGAUAUCUACAACAAACAAAAACAAACUUUAUCACUGCAUGAAAGAUCAAAACAUAAGGAAGUUCCUAGGGCAUGAAAAAAAACUCAAUCAGUUCAUUAUGUUCUCAACCAAAUACAUGAACACUCAAACAAUUCAACAAGAAUGAAAGUAUGCGAUCUAGUAGAGAAGACCACCAACCUGAAGAUAGUGCAAAGUAAUGCCGGAAUCUCUGGAAUCUCUCACAACUAUAAAAGCACUCUGUCUCCAAAAAUCACUACAAAAUGAGCAAAUGAAGACAAUGAAAAGAGUGUAAACUUAUCAUUCUUAUAGGGUUCAACAUGGUCAAAUAAAUUCAAAAUUCAAAAUUCAAACCAUGAGAAAACCCCACAUGGAAAGUCUUCAAACUUCCACACAAUCUAGGGAGUUUUCAAAUUUCAAACUUGCAGCACCCCCUCCCCCUCUCAAGAAAAAUGGGGGGGGGGAGGGGGUGGGAGGAGGUGAACACAUUAGAUUCAUCAAAGGAGUUCAACCAUAAUUCUCAAAAGCUUCACACACUCUUGAUCAAGACAGUGUGAAGCAAAACCAAUUUAUGGUGCCAACAAGAGCUUUAUCAAUAGAGGGCAAUCACAAUUCUCAAAAGCUUCACACACUUUUGAUCAAGACAGUGUGAACCAAAACCAAUUUAUGGUGCCAACAAGAGCUUCAUCAAAAGAGUUCAACCACAAUUCUUAAAAGCUUCACAAACUCUUGAUCAAGACAGUGUGAGGCAAAAAACCAAUUUAUGGUACCAACAAGAGCUUCAUCAAUGGAGGGCAACCACAAUUCUCAAAAGCUUCACACACUCUUGAUCAAGACAGUGUGAAGCAAAGUCAAUUUAUGAUGCCAACAAAAACUUCAUCAAUUGAGGGCAACUACAAUUCUCAAAAGCUUCACACACUCUUGAUCAAGACAGUGUGAAGCAAACCAAUUUAUGGUGCCAACAAGAGCUUCAUCAAAGGAGUUCAACCAUAAUUCUCAAAAGUUUCACACACUCUUGAUCAAGAUAAGCAAAACCAAUUUAUGGUGCCAACAAAAGCUUCAUCAAUGAAGGGCAACUACAACUCGUAGAAAGCUUCACACACUCUUGAUCAAGAUUGUUCGAAGCAAUUUCAAUUUAUAUGGUUCAUCCAAACCUUCGACUACUACAAGGUGUGGCUUGCAUCACAAUCUCUUACUCAAUUUUGUGGAAGUAAAAUUUGUAUAUGUUGUCUCUCCCACAUUUUCAAAUUUCUAAUUUCCCAAAAAAAAAAAGGAAAUUGGGAAAUUCAACAAAGCUUCAUCAAUGGAGGACAACUACAAAUUCUCAAAAGCUUCACACUAUCUUGAUCAAGAUAGUGUGAAGCAAAAUCAAUUCAUGGUACCCAACAAAGCUUCACCACAAAAGCUUCACCAACAAAAACUUCAUCAAUGGAGGACAACUACAAAUUCUCAAAAGUUUCACACUAUUUUGAUCAAGAUAGUGUGAAAAUCAAUUCAUGGUACCCAACAAAAGCUUCAAAUCCGAAGCUUCACCUACAAAGCUUCAACUCCAAAGCUUCGCCUACAAAAGCUUAAACACAAAAGCUUCACCCACAAAACUUCAACUCCAAAGCUUCACCUACAAAGCUUCAACACAAAAGCUUCACCCACAAUAGCUUCACCUACAAAAGCUUUACCCACAAAAGCUUCACCCACCACCAAAGCUUAAUAUAAAAUAUAUAUAUAUAUAUAUAUAUAUAUAUAUAUAAAUUUUCAGAAAUUUAAAAAUUCAAAAAUUCAAAAAUUCAAAAAUUCAAAAAUUCAAAAAUUCAAAAAAUCGAAAGAAAAAAAAAAUUGCCUAGGCCUCAUCUUCUUUGGGCCUAACAACUUUCAUAACAAAUAUAUAUGAAGGAGGAGUUUUGGGCUACCAUGUAAAAAGGAAAUGCCUCAUUCGUCAACUCCCUCGACCGGAGACUUGGGGGACUCCUACCAUAUGUUACUGCACCUUGAUACUCGGAAGUCUCACGACCACUUAGUGACUUGGAUUUUUCAAGUCUCCAAUCGAGAAGUUUUCCUCACUCGGGAAAUUAAGGGAGCACUACCUCAACAUACAUGCUUCACUCACAAAGCUUCAACAUAUAAGUUUCAACAAAAGAAAAAAAUUCAAAGAACUUAGUGAAGAAGACUUUGGUGUAUUUAACACAAUACGUUGAAAUGAAGCAAAACUUAUUUAUUAACAUCUCCGAUAAGUUACAAAUAUGUACAUAUACAUGAGUCAAAAUAAACAAACAAGAGAGAACUUUCAUAAAGGUUGCUCAUGAAAAGUCUCAGCAGUCGGCAGAGCCCUAGAAAGAUAAGGCAUCAGAGGGUGAUCAUUCAGAGCCUUAGUACUGGACAGAACCCCAGAAUGAGGAGGCAUCGGAGGUUGAUCAUUUGGAGCUUCAUUACGCGGUACAACCCUAGAAGAUGAAGGCAAUAAAUGCCUUUGGAACAAACCCACAAACCUCUGAUGAUCAAAUAAAAUCUGACCAUUAGAUUCAUGCAUCUGGUCAAACUUACUUUUCAUGUUUGUAGCAUAGUCAUGUGCGAGCAUGUGCAACUGUUUAUUCUUAUGCUUGAGCCCUCUAAUCUCCUGUUUGAGACUUAUCACUUUAGCCGCCAAUGAUUCAACUUGGCGGGUUCGAGCAAAUAAAUGUUGGGCCAUAUUAGACACAGAACCUGUACACUGAACAUUAAGAGCCAGAUAAUCCUUAAUAACCAACUCAUCAGACCGUUUGGAAAGUAGUCUGUUAUCUUUAGGAGUGAGAAGGUUCCUGGACACCACCGCAGUGGUCAUAUCAUUCUUCAUCACAGAGUCCCCAACGGUAAGAGUACCAGUAGAGGAUAAGAAGGAUUGGCGCCAUAUGUUGUCUUGAGAAGGCAUGGCUACCUCUACACCAAAGUUCAAGUCAAAAUGACGGUUGGAUGGGCCAAACAUUUUCAGAAAUGAUGAAGGAGAAAUGAGGUCCAAUAAAUCUCUAAAGUACGAAAAUAAAGGGAAAAUUCUUACAAGCAAUAACUCUCUAAACGUACUUCUUACACACAAUUGGUGCCCUUAUAAAAGAAAAGGCAACAUGGCCGUUUGUUCAAAAAUCGAAGAGGCAACACUCUCCGGAUUUCGAGAAGCAGAUUUUCUUGAGUAAAAUAUGUCGACAAUUCCCACACGCAACAUCAGCACCUCAGGUACUGCAGAUAACUUUACCAAAGAUCUCUGACAAAGUUUAGACACAUAAAUUUUGAAGGUCCAGCUACCCUACCAUUACCCACAAGGGUAAAGAAACAUCACCACUACUUGAUAACUGGAAAGUCCUUGUGUGUGCCAACCUCCGUGCUCCGUGGCAAGACCGACUGGCAAAAAUGCCCAACCUUUACUCACAUCGAGAAAACACUCCCAGUAGGAUUACUUGCUCAAAAAUCGAAGAAGCAUUGCUCCCCGAAUCUCGAGAGCCAAACUCCCACCAAGAUGGCUUCCUAAAAAAUCGGAGAGGCACCACUAACUGACUAUCGAGAGCCAGACUCACAACAGGAUUGUUUUCCCAAAAAUCGAAGAGGCACCGCUCUCCAAAUCUCGAGAGCCUGACUCCCAACAGGAUUGCUUUCUUAAAAAUUGAAGAGGCACCGUUCUCCGAAUCUCGAGAAUCAGAUCCCCGACAAGAUUGCUUGUUCGAAAACCGAAGAGGCACUGCUCUCCAAACUUCGAGAGCCAGAUUUCCUUGGAUAAAGCUUAUCUGCAAUCGUCACAAGCAACAUCGGCUUUCCAGAUACUACAGACCACUUUUUCGAAGUGCUCUGAAAAAGUUAAAACACGUGAAUCUUGCAACUCCCACUACAUUGCUAUGACUGAGAAGGGUAAAGGAAUAGCGUUACUACUAGCUAUUGGGACAAUUUCUAUAUAUGUCGACCUCCAUCCUCCACAACCAGGCAUACCUGUAAAUAAAAAAAAAUGCUCAACUUUUAUUCACAUCCAAGAAGGCACUCCCAAUAGAGUCUCUCGAAAUACUCAGCUUCUUCCCCCUCCCCCCCCCCGGCGAUAAUACUUAUGCAAACAAGUCACACCAAAGUAAGAGUAUCUCAUAUCAUGAGGGUUAAAAGAAAAAGUAUCUCAUAUCGUGCUUUUUCCCUGUAUUUUCCUUUGCCCUUACUCUUACCUGCAGGACAAAGAGAAAAAACAUAAUCAGUCAGAACCUAAAAUCAAACUUCCGAUCUGGAACUGAUUGCCCGAAAUAUUUGCAUGGUUGUUUGCCUAACAUUGCUCUCGAGUACUCAUCCUCAAUUGUUGUCAAGGUCAUAAAGUCCUUCGGCAAAUACCUCAGAACAGUUAAUAUGAUAUUGACGUUUCACACUGAAGCUGCCACGCAUGGAUGAGUUGCUGAGAAGUAGUGCUUUGAAGAACCAUUUAAAUGCAAAGGUUGAAUUCCAUUCCUACAUCGAGGACAAAUGUUGUAAGAGAUUGAAACAUAAUGAUCAAUGAUGAGCUAGAACAUAUCACUACAACACGAUGCCCUUCCUGCAGAACCACACAACCCAGACAGAGGAGUCUAAAUCAAAUCCAAACCCAGCAUCGCUGCCCUAUCCGAAGAACUUGAGAAUCUUCAACAACCUUUUGCUGACACCAUCACCAAAUAGCAAAGCUUCGCCAUACCACACCCACUACUUUAUCAACAGCAAAAGUAUCCCAUAUCAUUAGGGUCGAACGUACUCUAGAUUUGAUGGACUUGUUUUGACCCUUAAAUUCUUAAGUCGGCCUUAUACUUUGGAGGAAACCAGAAAACCCUUCAACCCAAUUCAAGAAUAAGCUUGUGGAAAGUUACUUCUUCAAAAGUAAAAGUAUCUCAUAUCAUAUCUUCUCCAUUUGCUUCUCCUUAUCCAUGUUGCUGUUUACGACACAAUGAGAAGGAGAACAAUCAACCGGAAGCCGAAGUCGAACCUCUGAUCCAGGUUGCUUGCUUGGAAGUCUGAUUGCUUACCUUGUCUGUUACCUCAUUCGGCAAAUCUCCUAACUCGGCGACUUGGAUGACUCUUACUAUAAGGUUUGUAUCGCACUUGACCAAGCCAGAAAUUACAAGUAAGCUUCAAUUGAUACAUUACCUUGUGCAUCUUCAUCGAUUAAAGAUACCACCCUUGGAUGAAGGAAAAGUACUUCCAGAGAAGAUGCCACAUCUACAUAUAAGACAGAUAAGGCAAGUGAAAAUGAUACCACACUUCGGUACUUAGAAGUUUUGUGAUUACUUAAUGGCUUGGAUCUUGCAAGUCCCCAAUCGAGAAGCUUCCCUCACUCGGGAACUUAAAGGAGCACUGUUUGUACCAUACUUGACCAACCCCGAAACUACUAAGCACCGGUCAACAUUAUACCACCAAGGACCCACAAGAGUCUCCCUCCAACCAGGAGACCAAUCAGCGACACAUGUCAACAUCAGAGACCAAUCAUAACGCGACACGUGUCGAUAUCAGAGGUCAAUCACAACACGACACGUGUCAAUGUCAGAAUGAAACUAGAAACUCACUUCUAUAAAUAGAGAUCAUUCUCUCACAAUAUUUUCUAAUGUUAUUUGUACUAAAUCAUUCGCUAGUACUCACUAAAGGAGAGCUUGAACCUAUGUACUUGUGUAAACCCUUCACAAUUAAUGAGAACUCCUCUACUCCGUGGACGUAGCCAAUCUGGGUGAACCAUGUACAUCUUGUGUUUGCUUCCUUGUCUCUAUCCAUUUGCAUACUUAUCGACAUUAGUGACCGGAGCAAUCUAGCGAAGGUCACAAACUUAACACUUUCUGUUGUACCAAAGUCCUCACUGAUUUUGUGCAUCAACAUGACUCAUUUUGAUGGAAUUCUGAUGUUGAUGAAAAAGACCAUAUAUGCAUGUUUUGACUAGUUAAGAGACUAAUGGUCAUGGCAAGUGGCCUUUUACCACAAUGGUGGAAAGGUGUUGAGCCUUUCCAUAGCAGCAUUGGUUCAAAUCUUGUUCGGUGUCCAACAUCCUAAUCUAACAAAUCUAUCAUUUGACAAUAAAAAAGAGACUACUGGUCAUGAAUUUUUAGAACAUCUCUAAAGAAGAUGUCAAAUUUGAAACAUCAAAUUGAUAUUUGAUGGCUUAUGUGGCGAAUUGACAUUUUGUACAAUUUUUUUAUUCACUCGAUAUGUUAAAUGAUAAUUCCAUUCUAAAUUUUUUUUUAUCACUUUGUAGGGUCCAUUUAUUGAGGCAACCAAUCUAAUUCUUAGAAUACACAACAACAUUUAUUAUAUGCAUUAAAUGUAAUAAAAAAAAAUACUAAAUGCAUUUGACAGUAGAAGACUUUGCCUUCAAUUGACUCAACGCCAUGUAGGAAAUUGAAGGCUCAGUUGGAGAGAGUGUGCUGCCAAUUUUUACUAUUAUAUACUUAUACGACAGUUUUGACAUCUCCUUUAGCGAUACUCUUAGUUGAAGAAUCAUUACUCCAUUGAGUUAAAGUUGAUGAACUAUUUCUACAAUUUUCUCGGAUUUCAUUUGUUGUAGAAGAGAUCUAAUGUAAGUUCCAGCUAUGUGAUGGUUAGCCGUCCAUAUACACAUAGCGACACUGUGAAAGUGAUAGUGUAAAGGGAUUACAUUUGAGAGAAACUCUAAUUUGUGGAACAUUGAAUUUGUGAAACAUCAAAAGCUUGAGAGAAACUAUUUUUUUAAUUAUAAUUAAGAUAAAUAAAAUAUAUCAAAUUAAAACUUUAAAUAGUCCUGGAAAACCCUUGAAAGAAAAACAAAACAAGACAUUACAAAAAAAUUGAAAAUUAAUUUUAAGACUUAAAAGGUGUUUUUAACCUAGGAAAUUUUUGAAACAAAUUGAUCCUAUUUUGCAACGACGAGUUGGACUCAUCUCUUUUUUUCCUGUUCAGAAAGGUAUUUUGAACCAUCACUGAAACACUAUUUACACUAAAAUUCACCUUUUUGAUAUGCUCGUUCAGCCUUACAUCAUACACAAGUAAUAUUUAGUCAUUAAAACCUACAUAGUCUAUAUUUUAUCAACCAUCACGCGUGAAUGACUGAGCUUUACAAAAUCAUGCACAAAUAGAGACCAUUUUUUAAGUAUAAUUGGUUUGUGUCCCUCCAUUCUUGGAGGGUGGGGAGGGUUAUGCAUUUGCUGGUUAUUUUAUGUUGGGGGAUAGAAACCCAAUUGGGGUUCACUUUCUUUUGGGAUUUGGACAAAUGCAGACGGGGGCCUCAUGUUAUGUUCUCAAACAGGAAAGGGGUGAUUCAAGUGGUCCCAUUUGGCACUUGCUGUAUAAAAAUAAGAUGCUGGGGAGAGAUGGACUGAUGGAAGGGAAAGCUGAAUCUUUGUGUAAUCAGAUCUCAAACCUACGAGUUUUCAUUAAAGGGAGGGCUCUAUGUCCUUGCAUGUGGACCAGGACAAGGUGAUGUAAUUUGUCUAUAAAUGAUGAAACAGUCGAGUUGUGGGAAAUAUGUAGAUCGAUUGACAUGAAACCUUUUUAUCUUGUCCAAACAGUCAUCAAAUUCUAAUAUGUUGAAAAGCUGUGUGGAGAAUGGAUAUAAUUAGAUGACUAGAUUUCUUCAUAAGUAAUCCAUUUACGUACCUUAGUUAGUGGGGUGUAUAUUGUUUUUCUGCUUCUUCAUAAUCCCAAAUGAUCGUAUAACUAAUAUGGUCAUUGUUUGUACCAUACUUGACCAAUCCCGAAACUACUGAUCACGGGUCAACAUUAUACCGUCAAGGACCCAGAAGAGUUUCCCUCCAACCAGGAGGCCAAUCACAGUGCGACACGUGUCGACAUCAGAAGUCAAUCACAGCGCGACAUGUGUCAACAUCAGAAGCUAAAUGAAACUAGAAACUUUCUUCUAUAAAUAGAGAUCAUUCUCUCACAAUAUUCCUAAUGUCAUUUGUACUAAAUCAUUCACUUGUACUCACUAAAGGAGAGCUUGAACCUAUGUACUUGUGUAAACCCUACACAAUUAAUGAGAAUCUCCUCUACUCCGUGGAUAUAGUCAAUCUGGGUGAACCAUGUACAUAUUGUGUUUGCUUCCCUGUCUCUAUCCAUUUACAUACUUAUCCACACUAGUGACCGGAACAAUCUAGCGAAUGUCACAAACUUAACACUUUGUUAUACCAAAGUCCUCAUUGAUUUUGUGCAUCAACAGUUAUGAUAAGCCAAUGUUCUUUGAUCACAAACUGUUGAGAUGUGAGUGAUUAUGUGUUGACUGGUAGCCAACAAAAUACACUAAGAUAUUAUGAUACAUUUAUCGACAAUAUAGGUACUCUUUAUCAACAAAAUAUGACAUCCUGCACUAUAUGUACAAGACUAACCAUGACUCAUAAAUCCUAAAGCUACAAAGCAAGGCGCACCUCUUCAUGUGGAAACUUGGCAUACCAAUUCAUCCAAAUUACAAUAUGUAGUAUCGUUGAGUCUAUAUGUUGUAAUGUAAGUGAAUUGGUGAUAUAACGUGAUAUUAUUACUGUCAUACUAAAUUUUAUUAACAAAAAUUAAGAAUAUUGUUUUGUCCAAUCAUAACUAUUUUUGUUGACGUUUGCAUGGCACAACCAAAAUCGUAUGUCACGUUGCACUUAUUCUCUAAAGCAAACCUAACUCACUUUAAACUCCUACUGCACUCUCCACGUAUAUUUCAAGUACUUUUUAAGAAGUUAUUUGUAUCAUAUAGAAAACCUUACUCAGAUCGCUACAAUUAGAAGAAAUUAUUAGGUAGUAUAUAUAGGGGUGUGAUAUCCACACAUCUUUUUUUACUUCUCACACACCCUUCUAAUUUUUGGCCGUCGGAUCGGAUAAAAUGAAGAAGAUCAACGAACAUAAAUUAACAAGGGGUGUGUGAGAAGUAAAAAAGGGUGUGUGGAUAGCACUAUCCACACAUCCCUUUUUACCACACAUCCUUUUUUACUUCUCACACACCCUUUGAUAAUUUAUGUCCGUUGAUCUUCUUCAAUUCAUCCGAUCCAACUGUCGAAAAUUAAAAAAGUGUGUAAAAAGUAAAAUGGGAUGUGUGGAUAUCACACCCCUAUAUAUAUUUAUUUGAUGGUCUGAUGGAUGAUGGAUCUCUGUUCGCAAGAGUAAUAAUUCUUCACAAGUUCGCAUCAGAAACAUUGUUAUCAUGUCCUUUAUCUAGUUGUCAUCAUCAUAAGUUAAGGAAAUACCAAAGUAUAUUAGCUUUAGAUACGUUUAACAAAACUAUUCUCUUUUUGGUUUAUAUAUAACCGCCCAACAGUACGUAUUAUUAUCUUCGAAUAUCAUGUGUACGCGUACAUUAGAAAAAUAAAAAGUAAAACAAUUGUUUCUCACAACGGAAAUUCCUAUUGAGUAGUUCGAUAUGUUUGCUCGUAUUAGCAAUAUUAUUUGUUAUCUGGAAAUAGUUGAUGAACCAUUAAGUUCAAUUGAAAAAAAAAAAGUAGGAAGAAUUAAUAGUGGGUUUUACAAAUAUGUUUUCAAUUAAUCAUGAACAGAAACUCAACCAGUAAAAGAAGGAAUGAGUAGAGGAGACUGAUUGUGCCAAAUGAUCCUCCUACUCCAAGCUGCACUGGUUUGUGUGCGUACUCUUAUGAAUUGCAGACUUGCAGAGAGUUGUCCAGCUGCUCUGGCGUAUAUACGUACUUCAAGCUUCACUUACACCAUGUAUGGUAGAGAAUCCCACCACAAAGAAAGAUCACACAACACAAAAAAGGGAUCAUCAAUCAUGAUUGCUUAGAUGAUAGAGUGCCGUGUACAUCAUAAGAUAUAGUUUUCUUUUCGUCCUUUGUGCGGUUACAAACUUACGAGUUUUCGUACUCGAAUUUCAUGUAUUUAUUAAAUUUUCAAGACAAAAGUAGAGCCUUGUACACUGAAUUUGCAAUUAACAAGUCAUUAAGGUGAUCUUUAGACAUGCAGAGGUAAACUUAGCGUCGAAUUUAAGCUAUGUUUUAGCUCUUCAAAAAUUAGAUUUUGUAAAGAAUAGUUCAUGUCGUCUUCAUCUCCAACAUUGGAUGGCUAUAUUUCAAACCCCUUAAUAUAUGUUAUAUUGUAGUGCUAAGUAAAAAUUAUGAUACAACACAUUAUAGAAAUAUAAAUCAAUUUUAAGGAAAUAUGAGGGAGGCUUGUAGGCUAUGACUCACUAAUCAUGAUGCGGGAGCCAAGGCUUUAAAAAAUUAAAAAAAAAUUGAAAACUUCUCGUUGGCAUUGGAAAUUCAAAUAAUAAAGGCAUUGUAAUUUAUUUUAAUGACAUAGGAACUUGUUAAGUCAUUUCUAGAGAGUUUUUUAGGAAGUUGUGGUCUAUUUAUGCUUCUUUAUCUUUAGUUCCUUUAAAUAUUGAUGUAUUAGAAGCCAUUGCUAGACUUGAAUGAAUUAAAAUAUAUUUUGCUUUGUGCAAUUGAAGUGAGUGAUUUCUCCUUCCCCAAUCAAGCAUUUGGCUUGGUCAUCCAUGAUUAACGACGUGAGAUAGCUCCGUUGCCCCUGGUUGAGCGAAUCCCAGGUUAUCUAUUCCCUUCUCCUCGAUACCCUUGGUUCUGUCCUGCAUCAAAUGGCAUUAGAGCAGGUUUUCCGCUGCAGUUGAAAAUCAUGGCUAUGAUUAUCAAUCCGUUUCAAGAUCACAUCGUUGAAGAGAUUAGUUUCAUCGAUUGGAAUUCACCACCAAUUUAUGAUGAAUACGUUGAUGAAGACGAAGUCAAAAAUCAUUUUGUGAAUGAAGUUAAUGACAUCGAGCCUUCCAUGCAUCAAAUGGUAAUCUGUUACUGCUAUUCAUCUUUUGGAUGCUACAAGGAUCUUCAAAGUACUCCAAGCAUGAUGCAAAUGGAGAUGCUUCAGACCUACAAGGAAUGGAUGAUGGCAAGGUGCUACUGAUGUCCCAAAUGAAUUUUGAAAAGAAUUUCAGACAGUCUACAAUUUUUGUGACUUCAACAUGGAUGGAACAAGGCGAUGUCCCUCCUUCCUCAAGCCCAGCAAUGAUGCUUAAAGAGGCCACUCAUGUGAUAAGUUGCGGUUAUGAAGACAAAACUGAAUGGGGUUUAAAGAUAGGUUGGAUUUACAAAUUUAUCAUAGAGAGCAUUCUAAGGGGUUUCAAGAUGCAUUCUAGUGUGGUUGGAGGUCAUUUUCAAUCAAAAAGAAGGAACCAGGGCCUACAACGUUUGAAAGAAUGGGGAAAUGGUAUUUUCAUGAAUAUUUUGUGGCUUGGAACACUUUGAUCGCCGUGAACUUCAUUUUACUAUUGUGGUUGUUGUGGAAGAAUCUGCAAGGUCAUCCCAAAGAUCGAGGAAGACCAAAUGGAACUUGAGGACGAGUUUUCUUCGAGAAUGGGAGAAUGAUGCGGGAGCCAAGGCUUAAAAAAACAAAAAAAUAAACACAAAUUGAAAACUUCUCGUUGGCAUCGGAAAUUCAAAUAAUAAAGGCAUUGUAAUUUAUUUUAAUGACAUAGGAACUUGUUAAGUCAUUUUUAGAGAGUUUUUUAGGAAGUUGUGGUCUAUUUAUACUUCUUUAUCUUUAGUUCCUUUAAAUAUUGAUGUAUUAGAAGCCAUUGCUAGACUUGAAUGAAUUAAAAUAUAUUUUGCUUUGUGCAAUUGAAUUGAGUGAUUUCUCCUGCCCCAAUUAAGCAUUUGGCUUGGUCGUAUGAGUGAAUCCACGAUUAGCGACGUGAGCUAGCUUCGUUGCCCCUAGUUGACGAAUCUCAGGUUAUCUAUUCCCCUCUCCUCGAUACCCAUGGUUCUGUCCUGUAUCAAAUCAAGUGCGAGAUUUCUCCUCUAGAUCAUUGAUUAAGGAGUUCAUAUUUCUCUGAGCUUAUCAUUUAUAAGAAAGAGAUGUUGUAACAAAGUAUCCUAAAAUGAAAUCCUUGGUACCGAAAUGAUUAGUCACUUCUUCAUUCAGUACAGUUUUUUUUUCUUUUCUUUUUUUUUUUUUGCUUCAAAAGGGAUCAUGGCUUCGCCACGGUAAUCUACCUUUUUGAAGGCCAGAAAGACUCACAAAGGCAUUUCAGCCUCUCUGGCCCAUCGUGCUAUUCACAAGUGCAAGGAAUUGAACCCAAGAGAUACCGUGUGAAAUACAUAUCUUAAAUUUAUCCCCAACCACUAGACCACCCUGUGGUGGUAUCAUUCAGUAUAGUUAAUUUGAUAUUUAAUUGAUAUUUCCAACUCAUUUAGUUAUAUACUUUAGUUUAGAUUAAAUUUCCAAACCACGUAGUUCUUUUCCCAAUUGACUUGAUCUGGUCACGGAUUAGUAAUAGAACUUUGAAAUUAUUGAUAAUUAUGUGACAGAGAAAAUCCUUAAAACAGCCCGCCAGAAGAUAAGUGCUAGUUAAUAGAGGUAGGAGCAAACAUUCAUGAAAUGAAAUGUCAGGUUCAUCAGUCUUCUCCCCCACUAUAACUAAUUGAGCUGUAUGUUGAUUAAUUAAGAAGAAUCAAGUAGUUAGGCCCUUCCAUCAUCUUCACCUACUACUAUAAGUUCCAACAAUUAUAAUACUAAUCUAAUUGGGCCAACAGAAAAUUAAUGUAACACCUCAUUCACAACGUACCAUAACUAAUUUAAUGUGAUAUUCUGCAUCCAAUAGGAAGUUUUCAAAUUGAAAUCCAACUUGCUUUAUAUGUAUAGGGUGAAAACGUCAAACAUGUUUGGUGGGUUUUAAGUCAGAUUUGGGUAUUUUAAGUUGGGUUAGAAGGUUUAUUAGUUUUCAGCCAUUAGAUUAAUGCAACGGGCGCGUAGAGUGGUUAGUUUUCUAUUACAUUUUUAACUAGUUAGCGCUUGAACACUCUUGCAUAAUACGUAACAAAUAUAAUGUUUGGUUCAAUAUCGAGGUUGAGGAUGAGAAUUAUAAAUUUUCCAGUUUGAGAUAUAUGGUAUUCGAAUUAAAAGUUUUCUAUCAGAAUUAAAACCAGAUCAAGGAAACAAGAAUAUAGUUGAUAGCCAACUAGGUUAAGUUGGGCAGUUUUGUGUCUUAGAAGAAACGCCGACUCUCGUUCACAUCCAUAUUGAGUUAAGAAAUUAAAGUACAAAAUGCCUAUGAGUCGAACAAAGGAACGUUGAUCUUGGGAAAUUUACAACAGGACGAGAACCUGAAAUCAUCAUUUCAAAUGUGUAGGUUGUUAUAUAUGUGCAUCACAUGACCUCUAUGAUAGCAGUGUUUAUCUAGGAUGCGUGAGAGUGUGCAACGGGCUAGGGCAGCUUGACCAUGCCCAGUUUAAUGUCAACCUAGCACAACACAUCAUGAUUUUUUGAGGACUAGGGCAAGCAUGGGACACGCCAUGGCGUGAGACACGAUUUUCGUUGCACGUCUCUGACGCGGGCACGAGCUCAUUGUGAGCUGGACUCGUGCGAAACCCUACCUACCUCCAAACUACAUGCAACUAAAACGUAGUUUGAAUUAUAUGAUAUCCAAAAUAUCAGAUUUAUAGGUUUACCCUCCCUAUAGCUGGAUGACAUCCCGACUACGGGAGAGGCAAGAAUUCAUUCCAGGGAUUUCAAGUAAUUGACCGUGUCAAGGAAGAGUUGGAGAAUAUUUGCCCCGGUGUAGUGUCAUGUGUGGACAUUCUCGUGGUGGCUGCGAUAGACGCCGUUCUGAUAUUCACUCUUAAAAUAAUUAGUUCUCCGCUUCAACUUUAUUUUACUUUACUUUCCACACACCAUUUCUGGCUUCGUCACUGUUUGGACCUGAUUUUACACAUCGGCCUAAGCAAUCGAGGCCGUUGAGUAAGCAUGGUUCUCAACCGUUGGAUAAGAAAGUUUAGAUAUUAUUGUUAAGAGAUAAUAUUAUGAUUUUUAAUCAUAAUAAUUAUUUUUUUUAUAAGUUAUCCCGGUUUUUUAUGCAAAAUAAAUGGGAUGGAGGCAAGUAGAGUUGUGAUGGGGACGUGAGCUUUGAAUCAUGUUGGUUUGUUUUGCUGGACAUGCAUGCAUGGGAUGUAAAGAUAAUGAAGUGAUAGGGGAUAAAUCCAAACAUGCCAAAACGUGUAAUUUGCAAAAGAAUUGUGCAAUAUGGAGAUUCUAUCCUAAUGCAUGGUUUUUUGGGUUUGGUUUUGUGCACGUGGCAUGCGACAAUGGAGAUGAUGGUUUUGCAUGGUGAUGGCAAUAUGGGUUUAAAGGUUUCUCAUGUUUUUUUAAUAAGAAGCCUAGGUGGGUUAGAUCUCUAGUGAGAUGUGAUAAAGCCUAGGUAGGCUUUAUUUAUCUGAAGGAUAUGUGCGGCGUAUUUGAUACGGGAUCAGGGUCAAUUCCACAAAAUAGAGUUGCAGUUGGACUCUACAAAAUUAUUUGGCCGCGUCACACAACAUUUGCUCCUAUAAAUACAGAGAUAGUGGCAACGGAAGAAAGACCCCUGCAAAUCAAUACAAAAUUGCCCUGCGCAAAUUCUCACAACUUGUGAUUUUUCUUUUUCCUUUUUCGCUGACACAUCUUCCGUUGGCGUCAACAGCACUGUGGAAGCAACCGGUGAUAUCUUAAGUCGGCAUAGAUAGCUCUGUCACCGUAGAAUCAAUCGGUCUCGCAGUAUCUUCCGUUGGCAUCAACAGCACUGCGGCGAGAACGGUUAAUUACCUAUCCAAGUCUCGGUCGAGAAGGGUUUCUGAACCCUUAUUGGUCGAUGUCAUCUCAUCAGCCUUCUCGGCGAAGUGAGGUGUUACACGUUAUUACGUUCGGCAUAUUGAAAGCCGAAUUUGAUAUUGAACUUCGUAAGAAUAGUAACCUUGUCUUCAGGUUCGAGAGCCCAAGAGGCCGAGACGUGUUCCUUUCUCGGCCGCAAUCGCAAGACGCAGAAGUCAGCCGCGCACCCAACGCAACAUCAACAAAUUUACUCCUUGGCCGAGCUCGGCCGACGAGUUGGCACGCCCUGCAUUCACCGAAGGACGUAGUUAGCUCAUUAAUUAUUCGGCCUGCACGCCACGUAGGCUUUGUAGUUUUUAGGGUCAACAUUUUGGCACGCCCAGUGGGACCCAGUGCUAAACUACGAAGUUCACAUGAUCUAUCUCGAUCCGGCUUCAAGGGAUGAGUGUUAUCGCCUAUUAAAGGAGCAAAAACAACUUCUCGAAAGUUUGAGAAGAAUUUCUGAAAGGCAAAAGGCCGAGGGGCAAAUCUCCACUCCGGCCACAACCAAUAUUCGGCCUAAGAAAAGUGAUAAUUUGGCCGAAGAACAAAGGCCACUUGUUGUUUCGGUAGAGACUGAAAAUAUAGUAGGCCUAGAAGAAAAAAUUCAAGUCCCUAAGCUAUAUACAAAAAUUGACUUGGAAAAAGAUUCGUCAAAAGAAUGCUCUAGUGACGAACGAGGCCGAAAUAUUGGCCUAGCCCGAGAAACUACGCCAAUUGAUAUGAUUAUUGGCAAUAAAGCCGAUAUGGAGAAAUCCUGUUCGGCUAAGUUAUUUGAAUUAAAAGCCGAAAUUAUGCUUGGGGGGCUGUUUGGACUCAAAUUUACACCAUCGGCCCAUGUAAUCAAGGCCGUUGAGUGAGCAUAGUUCUCGACCGUCAGAUGGAAAAGUGAAGAUAUUUUUGUUAAAGGAUAAUAUUAUGAUUUUUUAUCAUAAUAAUUAUUUUUUAAUGAUGAAUUAUCUUGAUUUUUUCCUGGUACAAGAUGGAUGAGAUGUAAAUGUAGUUCAAUUUGAUUUGGGAUUCUUGGAGUUAAGACGCGUGGUGGAUUGGGAGCAUCAGAGCACGUUAUUAAGAGUCCUAAUACACUACUGCAUUGUUGGCAAAUGGAAAUUGGCAGAGAUAUUAAUGCUUGCAUAAAGAUGAAGAUGUUAAAUUGGAGAUGGAUAGCCACGUGUGAGUGGAUUUGGUGGAGCCAUGCAUGCAUAUCAUUAUUUCAAGUCAAGAUGCUUAUCGGCACUAAUUGGUAUAUGCUAAUAUGCUAUUAAUUAGCAAGAGGUGGUUGCAUGUUGGUAAGUGAUAACAAUCUUUUUGCAUGAGAUUGUUAUGAAUGAGGACUUUGAUGUUGGCGGCAGCUUUACAACACGAGCCGUCAGGAUGAGGAUGAUACUUAUAAAUACAGAGUCGCAAACAACGGGUAGGACCCCUGCAAAUCAAUACAAAAUUGCCCUGCGCAAAUUCUCACAACUUGUGAUUUUUCUUUUUUCCUUUUUUCGCUGACACAUCUUCCGUUGGCAUCAACAGCACUGUGGAAGCAACCGGUGAUAUCUUAAGUCGGCAUAGAUAGCUCUGUCACCGUAGAAUCAGUCGGUCUCGCAGUAUCUUCCGUUGGCAUCAACAGCACUGCGGCGAGAACGAUUGAUUAUCUAUCCAAGUCUCGAUCGAGAAGGAUUUCUGAAUCCUUGUUGGUCGAGGUCAUCUCAUCAGCCUUCUCGGCGAAGUGAGGUGUUACAAGUGACUACAUUCGGCACGUUGAAAGCCGAAUUUGAUAUUGAGCUUCGUAAAAAUGGUAACCUUGUCUUCAGGUUCGAGAGCCCAAGAGGCCGAGACGUGUUCCUUUCUCGGCCGCAAUCGCAAGACGCAGAAGUCAGUAGCGCGACCCAACGCAACAUCAACAAAUUUACUCCUCGGCCGAGCGCGGCCGACGAGUUGGCACGCCCUGCAUUCACCGAAGGACGUAGUUAGCUCAUUAAUUACUCGGCCUGCGCGCCACGUAGGCUUGGUAGUUUCUAGGGUCAACAUUUUGGCACGCCCAGUGGGACCCAGUGCUAAUACUACGAAGUUCAUAUGUUAUAUCAAGAUUCCAAUCUGGCUCAACGUAGCUGAUUGUACGAGCUCCUGGAGGAAUUGAAAAAACAUAAUGAGGAAUGCAAAAAAUCUUUGGAAGCAGAAAAAGUUCUUCGUGGCCAUAAAGAGAUGCAAAAGUCAUUCGCUUGCAUGGUGAAAAUAAAAGCUCCUGUUACCCUGCAUGGGUAAAUGAAGACAGGGCUCGAUUUAAUGCCUGGCUAGAUGAAGAACGUUUUCCUUACGUUUCUGAUUACAGAUCAAUUCCAUUUGAAAAAUGGUUAGGUCCAAAGGCCGGGGGGCAAUUUUUCGCUCCGGCCACAAUCAAAAUUCGGCCUCAAAAAAUUGUUAAGGCGGCCGAAGAAAUACUUAGGCCACCUGUUGUUUCGGUCGAGAUUCAAAGUGUGGUAGGCCUAGACGAAAAAGUUGAAGUUUCUGAGCUAAAAAUCGACUCAGAAAAUGAUUCGUCAGAAGAGUGCUCCAAUGACGAACAAGACCAAUACACGACUUCAAACCAUAAAAUCACAUCGAUUGAUAUGGUAAUUGAAGACAUAGGUCUAGCCGAAAAAAUCACGCCAAUUGAUCUGAUUAUUGGUGAUAAAGCCGAUAUGGAGAAAUCCCGUUCGGCUAAGUUGCUCGAGUUAAAAGCCGAAAUUGGUGAAAUAAUUAUGCCCAGGGGGCAUAAUACUUGUUCCACACAUUCGGCGGCUGAAAAUGCAAAAUAUUUUGCCGAGUCAAAAAUAUUUGGGAAAAAUUCUUUAUUCGGCCUAGAGCGAAAUCAAUUUGAAAAUUUUGAUGCAAAAAGAUCUUGGCUUGGAAUAAAACAUCGUUGGUCUCCUCCUGAUUAUGGUUCGGCCACUUUUAUUUUCGUUUGCUAAAAUAUUAAAUAAAUUAUUUUCUUAACUAUUCGGCUUUUUAGGCCGAUGCAUAAACAUAAAAAGGGGGUAGUAUUGUUUUGACCGAUUUGUGUUCGGAUUUAAGAUUUAUUCGGCAUAUAACAUAUCAUGCAGAAAUUAAUCAUGGCAUGAACUGUUCUAGCACGAAGUGUUACAAUUUGGCGUCAAAGCAGGAGUUGAAUCAUGGCAUCUGCAAUUAGAGUCUCGGCCAAAAGAGUGGUUGCCGAGCCAUUCAAUGCACCUGGGAUUGGUUUGGCCGAAUAUAUAUAUAUAAGAGUUUAGCCGAACUCUCGACUACCUUACAAAAGCCUCGGCCAAAGCUGCAUAUAUAUGAUUCGGCCAAAACUGUAUAUAUAUAUAUAUAUAUAUAUAGGAAUUGCUUAAGGGGAGGGAUCCCCAUUUUUUCAAAAAAAUGGGGACACACUCCCCACCGUUGGAUUUGAAUUAAAUGAAAUCCUGUGGUUGAGAUUCUAUGGCCUGUGUUUUAAUCUCAACCACACAAUUUCAUUAAAGUCAAUCUAACGGUGGGGAGCGUGUCCCCAUUUUUUUUGAAAAAAUGGGGAUCCCUCCCCUUAAGCUCCCUGUAUAUAUAUAUAUAUAUAUAUAUAUAUAAAGAAAAUGGGGAUUCUCGGCCACAACUAUAUAUAUAUAUAUAUAUAUAUAUAUAUUGGGGGGGUUGUUUUUAAUGAGGGCAUUAGAGACUCGGUGGACGUCAAAUCUUGGUCAAAUGAGUGGGUCUGAGUUUCAAUGGCCAUGUGGGGUCGAGGGUUCAUGAUUUAUCUUGGUCAUGAUAGAUGAGUGAUAUUCAAUUGGAGGAAUUCAGCACAGUAUUUUGCCGAAUAAGUUUUUAUUCGGCGGUGGUUUCUCCAAUAAUUCUCGGCCAUAUGUUUUUCUCGGUCACUCGGAGGUAGUCAGUCAUCGGUAUUAUUAUUGGUAAAUCAGUAUUAUUGGAUGAUCAGACUUGGUGCAUACAGCUGAGCUAUCAGGGAUAAGGCCGAGUAAUCAACCGAGCUACCAAGAAUUAGUCAUUGCUGAGCCUUGCAUAUAGAAUGAUGGCUACGAACAAUUAAUUUCCUUAAAUAUUCGGCUUAUGAGCCGAAGUUCAAGGAAAUUGGGGGGCAAUGUUUGGACUCAAAUUUACACCAUCGGCCCAUGUAAUCAAGGCCGUUGAGUGAGCAUAGUUCUCGACCGUCAGAUGGAAAAGUGAAGAUAUUUUUGUUAAAGGAUAAUAUUAUGAUUUUUUAUCAUAAUAAUUAUUUUUUAAUGAUGAAUUAUCUUGAUUUUUUCCUGGUACAAGAUGGAUGAGAUGUAAAUGUAGUUCAAUUUGAUUUGGGAUUCUUGGAGUUAAGACGCGUGGUGGAUUGGGAGCAUCAGAGCACGUUAUUAAGAGUCCUAAUACACUACUGCAUUGUUGGCAAAUGGAAAUUGGCAGAGAUAUUAAUGCUUGCAUAAAGAUGAAGAUGUUAAAUUGGAGAUGGAUAGCCACGUGUGAGUGGAUUUGGUGGAGCCAUGCAUGCAUAUCAUUAUUUCAAGUCAAGAUGCUUAUCGGCACUAAUUGGUAUAUGCUAAUAUGCUAUUAAUUAGCAAGAGGUGGUUACAUGUUGGUAAGUGAUAACAAUCUUUUUGCAUGAGAUUGUUAUGAAUGAGGACUUUGAUGUUGGCGGCAGCUUUACAACACGAGCCGUCAGGAUGAGGAUGAUACUUAUAAAUACAGAGUCGCAAACAACGGGUAGGACCCCUGCAAAUCAAUACAAAAUUGCCCUGCGCAAAUUCUCACAACUUGUGAUUUUUCUUUUUUCCUUUUUUCGCUGACACAUCUUCCGUUGGCAUCAACAACAGCACUGUGGAAGCAACCGGUGAUAUCUUAAGUCGGCAUAGAUAGCUCUGUCACCGUAGAAUCAGUCGGUCUCGCAGUAUCUUCCGUUGGCAUCAACAGCACUGCGGCGAGAACGAUUGAUUAUCUAUCCAAGUCUCGGUCGAGAAGGAUUUCUGAAUCCUUGUUGGUCGAGGUCAUCUCAUCAGCCUUCUCGGCGAAGUGAGGUGUUACAAGUGACUACAUUCGGCACGUUGAAAGCCGAAUUUGAUAUUGAGCUUCGUAAAAAUAGUAACCUUGUCUUCAGGUUCGAGAGCCCAAGAGGCCGAGAUGUGUUCCUUUCUCGGCCGCAAUCGCAAGACGCAGAAGUCAGUAGCGCGACCCAACGCAACAUCAACAAAUUUACUCCUCGGCCGAGCGCGGCCGACGAGUUGGCACGCCCCGCAUUCACCGAAGGACGUAGUUAGCUCAUUAAUUACUCGGCCUGCGCGCCACGUAGGCUUGGUAGUUUCUAGGGUCAACAGGGGCAUAAUAAUUGUUCAGCGCAUUCGGCAGCUGAUAAAAAAUCUUUCGUCAAGUCAAACAUAUUUGGAGAUAGUAUUUUAUUCGGCCUUGCAAAAAUUCAAAGUGAAAGUUUUGAUACAAAAAGCCUUCGGCUUGGAAUAAAACAUCGUUGGCCUCCUCCAUUUAUAGUAGGGCCACUUUUGUUUUCUUUUGCUACAAAAUAAGAAUAAAUUAUUUUCUUAACCAUUCGGCUUUUUAGGCCGAUGCUUAAGAAAAUAAAGGGGGCAAUAAGAUGGUGCGGACUUAGAAAAACAAGAAAAAACAAGAUGGUGUACUCGGCAGACAAUUUUGGUCAAAUAAUGGUGUAUUUGGCAGACAGUUUUGGUCGAAUGAAUUUGCGAGAGCAUGCAUGACAAUUGUUCGGCAGACAGUUUUGGUCAAAUGAAUUUAUGGGAGCAUGCAUGGUUGCGAAGCUUGCUCAAUUCAGUUUCGAUGUGCGGUUUAAUAUAUAUAUAUAUAUAUAUAUAUAUAUAUAUAUAUAUAUAUAUAUAUGUCAGAAUGACCCAUCACAUGAAACAGAAAGAGAGACGCAUACGGAAAAGACAAAGGAAUAUUCAUGAAGUUAUGGUAGGCUUCCAUAUGGGCUAACAUUUUCGUUUGGUGAUGUAGUGAUCUGUGAAUUCCUAACAGCAUUAUUUGGCCGAAUACAAAUCUUUGGCCGAAUAAAACAUAGUUCGGCCGAAUAGAAUGGGUUAUAUAUAUAUAUAUAGGCUCUACAGCCAGUUCUUCUCGGUCUCGGCCCCAUUUACUCUCGAUCCCAGUAUUUUUGACCGAUACUAGUGUUUUCUCGACCCCGACAGUUGAGAGUUGGAGUAGUUCACGACACUGGCAGAGGGAGGUUAUGACAUUGGCAGAACAUAGGUGAUUUUAAUACCGAGAGACAAAAUUUGUUUCGGCAAUACGACGAAGUGUUGUUGGCUACGAGCAAUUAAUUUCCUUAACCAUUCGGCUUACGAGCCAAAGCUCACGGAAACUGGGGGGCAAUGUUUGGACCUGAUUUUACACAUCGGCCUAAGCAAUCGAGGCCGUUGAGUAAGCAUGGUUCUCAACCGUUGGAUAAGAAAGUUUAGAUAUUAUUGUUAAGAGAUAAUAUUAUGAUUUUUAAUCAUAAUAAUUAUUUUUUUUAUAAGUUAUCCCGGUUUUUUAUGCAAAAUAAAUGGGAUGGAGGCAAGUAGAGUUGUGAUGGGGACGUGAGCUUUGAAUCAGGUUGGUUUGUUUUGCUGGACAUGCAUACAUGGGAUGUAAAGAUAAUGAAGUGAUAGGGGAUAAAUCCAAACAUGCCAAAACGUGUAAUUUGCAAAAGAAUUGUGCAAUAUGGAGAUUCUAUCCUAAUGCAUGGUUUUUUGGGUUUGGUUUUGUGCACGUGGCAUGUGACAAUGGAGAUGAUGGUUUUGCAUGGUGAUGGCAAUAUGGGUUUAAAGGUUUCUCAUGUUUUUUUAAUAAGAAGCCUAGGUGGGUUAGAUCUCUAGUGAGAUGUGAUAAAGCCUAGGUGGGUUAGAUCUCUAGUGAGAUGUGAUAAAGCCUAGGUAGGCUUUAUUUAUCUGAAGGAUAUGUGCGGCGUAUUUGAUACGGUAUCAGGGUUUAUCUGAAGGAUAUGCGCGGCAUAUUUGAUACGGGAUCAAGGUCAAUUCCACAAAAUAGAGUUGCAGUUGGACUCUACAAAAUUAUUUGGCCGCGUCACACAACAUUUGCUCCUAUAAAUACAAAGGUAGUGGCAACGGAAGAAAGACCCCUGCAAAUCAAUACAAAAUUGCCCUGCGCAAAUUCUCACAACUUGUGAUUUUUCUUUUUCCUUUUUCGCUGACACAUCUUCCGUUGGCGUCAACAGCACCGUGGAAGCAACCGGUGAUAUCUUAAGUCGGCAUAGAUAGCUCUGUCACCGUAGAAUCAAUCGGUCUCGCAGUAUCUUCCGUUAGCAUCAACAUCACUGCGGCGAGAACGGUUGAUUACCUAUCCAAGUCUCGGUCGAGAAGGGUUUCUGAACCCUUAUUGGUCGAGGUCAUCUCAUCAGCCUUCUCGGCGAAGUGAGGUGUUACACGUUAUUACGUUCGGCAUAUUGAAAGCCGAAUUUGAUAUUGAACUUCGUAAGAAUAGUAACCUUGUCUUCAGGUUCGAGAGCCCAAGAGGCCGAGACGUGUUCCUUUCUCGGCCGCAAUCGCAAGAUGCAGAAGUCAGCCGCGCACCCAACGCAACAUCAACAAAUUUACUCCUCGGUCGACGAGUUGGCACGCCCCGCAUUCACCGAAGGACGUAGUUAGCUCAUUAAUUAUUCGGCCUGCGCGCCACGUAGGCUUUGUAGUUUUUAGGGUCAACAGUCACAUUUCAGGUGUCGGCUAACACUACUUAUUUUCGGUGUCCACUUGAAUAUAUGGGUCAGGGUGUGUCAUAAUGAACGCAGGCGAGCAUGGAUUCGCAACGGGGGUUCAAAAUCAAGUAGAUCCGAAUUGAAUCUCACAAAAACCCGACUGGAUUAUCAUCGGGAAGACUGUAGGCUCUCGAGGAUGGGUGGUUUCACCAGAAAAUGGUCAAACAAGGCCGGGGACAGGGACGACGCAAAAAUGGCAUCAUUUGGUCCUAGGGUUUCAGAAUAAGAGCAGCUAGGCUCCUUGUGGCUUGCGACGCAGCUUGGCGACUCGGCUUACACGCUUCAGGUCGUGGCUCGCGCGGGAGGUUGCAGCAACCCUAAUUUUCUUCUUUCUUUCUGUUCUCACACAAUCAUUAAUUCACCACAACAACAUAUAAGCAAAAUAAUAUUAUAAUUCGAAAAGCAUAAAAUUGGGUUCAUGCACUAUGUUGAAGAUUUCAUGCAAUUAGAGCUGGAAAAAAAAUCAAAAUUGAAACCGUAUUUUAGAAGUUACUUAGAUUGUAUGAUCAAAAUUUUGAGCUGUUUUGUAGCAGAAAAUAGCCUCUAGAUUCAUAGCGCAACGUCUAGAGUGUGCUGAUAACAUUUUGUUUCAUAUUUUACUAAAAGAAAGGGAAAUGGUGUGGUGAUAGUGGUGGAGAAAAAGACUCGGAAAAAUUGGUGUAUGUUCCCUUGUGCCAAUGCCUUUAUUUAUAGUAAACAGAAAGAAGAAGCAAACUUGCUCACCAAAAACACAUAGUCUAAUAGAAAAAAAAAAUCAUCUAAAUUACAUAGAAAUCCUAAUUCAAAUCUACCAAAAUUUACCGAAUUAUACUACAUCAAUAUUAAAUGUAACAAUAUUGACUAUGAUCCUACAGUUUUAUUUGCCAGUGUAUGUCUUUUAGCUAGCUUUAUAAUAACUUAUCAAUUUGAAUUUUUUGUCCCAACAAGUAAGCUAAUAUAUAUUAAAAAAUUAGUAUGUGUACACACACAAGAGAGCCAUAUAGUCUUUGGUCUUAUUGUCUCAAAAGUCAGAAGAGAAGACCCGAAGAACGAGCACUCCUCCAUAGUCCACAUUUCUCUACGGUCAUAUUCGGCGGACAAAAUUCUAUGCUCCAACGUCUUCGCUCUCCUUUUUUUUUUUUUUUUUUUUUUUUUUUUUUUUUUUUUUUUUUUUUUUUUUUUUUUUUUUUUUUUUUUUUUUUUUUUUUUUUUUUUUUAGCAAAUGAUAUUAUUUAUAUUAAAUGAUUGAGAUAACAUGUCAAAUUUCACACGUAACUAGCUAUAAUAAUGUUAUUUAAAUUCAUCUUUGACGAGAAUUGAAACUAAGACCUUACUUAUAAGUGAAAAUUAAUAUCAUUAACUCGUAGUACUAAAUAACACUUUAAUCUUUAAAAUUUACAAUCAAACUAGAUUUUUUUUCUCCUUUCUAUAUCCCGUGUUCCAAUUUCCACAUCCACACUUACAAAGUCGUACACGAUGACAUAGCACCAUACCCAUAUAUGGCAUUUGAUGUUUCUAGUCCUCGACUAACAUGAAACGUACAGUCGAUUCUUUCCCUUAGUCCCACUAGUCACAUGUGAUUCCUAUUCUUUUAUAAACAACUUUUUUUUAUUUAUUUUUUUUCAGCCAAAGAAGUUAAUUAAAAUUUUCAAACUGAAAAAUUAUUUAAUCAAUUACAAUAGCAUAAUAUUCAAACUGGAAUUUUUUUUUUUUUAGAGAAUGAUUUUCUACUCAAGAGGUGUGGGGAUUGAACCAUGCCACAUAAGGGGUUAGCUCUUAACUAAAUAUCAAACUCAACUCGAAUAUAAUACAUCAUCGCGAUCCAUAUGAGCAAAACCUGAGACGACUCACUUGAAAAUAGAGAUAAUUAUCACUAAAUCAUAGUACUAGCUGGUCACUUUAAUACAGUACUCACACUUGUAGGCUUUGGCUACACUAGCAUCAAUUAACUCUUGAUAUAACGUAAUUUUACUUCUUAAUAUUAUUCCCAAUUGAUUAACAAAACUACUAUAACAAAAACAAAUAAUAUAACUAAAAUAUGGACUUACGAAAAAUAAAAGAAAAUGAUUUUCGUACAAUUUUCCUCACUCUACGCAUCUCUAUUUAUUUUAAUCUAUCGAUUCUCAUUUAUUUCAUUUAAUUCAAAUACUAGAAAUAAAGUGGCAUUAAGACUAAGAAGGUACAAAUCCCAUCAGCUCAUGGGCAUUAGUGGAAUUUCGCCCUUCUUUAACUGCAUUGUCCCUCCAUAUGCAAGUUAAUUUCACGCGGAUACAAACCCAAUACUUAACUAAGCAACAACAGGCCCACAUUUGACCAACAACUAAUUUAGUCGUAUUUACAUACACACCCCUGUCCCACCACCACCAAGUCAAAACGACGACGUCACCUUCGUCCUCAAAAACUCCUCCAACCUCCACUUCCUUCCAAAACACAACAAACUCAAACCUCUCCGUCUGAGAAACUCUGGAGCACCAAACAAUCAACUCGCCACUAAAAAUGGGGAGGGAGCGGGACCAUCUCUACAUCACCGUUCCCAACCUCUUCCGCUGCCCCAUCUCCAUGGACGUCAUGCGCUCCCCCGUCAGCCUCUGCACCGGCGUCACCUACGACCGCGCCAGCAUCCAGCACUGGCUCGAAUCCGGCCACGACACCUGCCCCGCCACCAUGCAGAUCCUCCAGUCCAAAGACGUCAUCCCCAACCUCACCCUCCGCCGUCUCAUCAACCUCUGGGCCCAGUCCCACGGCCCUUCCUCGCCGGCCUCCUCUCCCUCUCUCUCCUCCCAGCACCUCGCCUCCCUCGUUCAAUUUCUCCGCAAUGAGAACGAGACUGAGAAAUUCAGCCAAAAUAUCGUAAACUCAUUGUCGAAGACUGCCGAUUUCGCGAGGGUCGGCGAGGAGAACCGGAGGUUUGUGGCGAAUUUCGACGGCUUCGUCUCCGCCAUUGUGGGGAUUCUGAACAGAGAAGGCGUCGAAAUCGAAGUUCUCGAAUCGGUAAUUAAGGUUUUGGAUUCGAUUUUGCCUCAAAGCGGAGUCAACGAGCAAUUGAGCCGAUUUAUUGCGAAGAGCAACGGCAAUUACCUCGCUUCAAUUCGAUUGGUACUGCAGAAAGGAAGCCUGAGCUCGAAGAUCGAAUCCGUCAAGGUUUUGGAUUCGAUCGCGCUCGACGCCGAGUCGAAACGAUUAAUCGCGGAGAAGGAAGGCUUAUUGUCCGUAUUCAACGAUCUGUUGAGCUUGGAAACGUGUCAGGACCUAUACGGCGCCGUUUUCUCAUGCUUAGCAUCAUUGUCCGUGAAUCGGUCGAUUAAAGCCGAGCUCGUCCGGUUCGGACUAGUCCGAGUUGUAACGUCAACGCUGCUAAAGCCGGACACUAGCACUACCCUUGCGGAGAAGUGUUUGAAGCUGUUAUCCACCAUUGCCACGUGCGCCGAGGGCCGGUCGGCGAUCAGCGGGGAGGAGAAGUGCGCGGAGGCGGUGGCGGAGAGGCUGAUGAAGGUGUCGAGGGGGGCGACGGAGGACGGCGUGGCGGUGCUGUGGAGCGUGUGCUGCAUGUUGGGGGACAAGAGGGCGAGGGAGAGCGUGGCGGGAGGAAAUGUGGUGGCGAAGGUGUUGUUGGUGAUGCAGAGUGGGUAUGGAGAGGGGCAUUUUGUGAGGAGGAUGUGUGGGGAUUUGGUCAAAGUUUUGAGUGUUGGGUUAGGGUUGGGGUUGAGGUAUGACACCAAGACUAUACAUAUCAUGCCUUGUUAGAAAUUGUUCAUGAUGAUAAUCUUGCUCAUUUAUUUUUUUUUUGGAAAUUGUGAAUUUGGAUAAAAAAUUUUAUAGAAACAAAAAGGAAAAUUCUUUUUAGUUUUGUAGUCAUUGAUCAUCAUUAUGUGAUUGAUGUUGUAUGAUUAGUAGAGAUAUUUUUGUGUGCUGUGAACAUGACCCGGUAUAUUAAGAAUAGUAUUACAAUUCGUUGGAAACUUUAAAAAAAAAAUUCCAAGAAAUUGUAUGUGCUGUGUUUCCGGAAAAAUUUCUUGGGUUUGUGGGGAUGUGAAUAUGCAAAAUUAUGUUGAUAAGAUGGCUUAAGUGAUUAAAAGAAUGAAGAAAUAAACAACUUUUUGUUAAUCUCAUGUUAAUCUUCUUUUUUGAUUUGUUGUUUCUUUUAUUGUUAAUUCAGAAAAGUUUCAUGAUGAAUUUGUUUGGACUUUGAAAAAGGAUUAGGGACAAGAAUCCAAUCCAUCGUAAAAGGGGCAAGUUUUGAUAUGAUUUGCAAGUUAUAACUUGUUAAGUAAGAGAACGUAAGGAGAUCUAUUGUAUACUUGGGUAAAUUUAAUUGGUCUUAAGUUCAAAUUUAUUUCUAAGUAAUUUUGGAGUAAUUGUGAUCAAAUAGUUGUAUGCUUUUUUUUAGAGUGGACUUACAAGUCACAGUUGUAUUGCCUCAACUACGUUUUAUACCAAUAAUACAAUACCAUGCAGAGAAAUUUACACAUAAUGUUGUAUAUUUGGCAUGAGACUAUCUUAGUGAAAAUGUAUCCAUGCCAUAGAAGUCGUCCUCUCUUUUGUGGGUGAGGUAGUUCUGGGCAAUGAACCUGUAUGAAAAAAUAUGAGUUGUUGAGCUAUGCACGAGUGUCAAACGUAACAUGGCUUAUUUUCGUAUCCCUGGUAAACAAACUACAAAAUCGUUGCUCUUAGAACAGUAUGUGUUUAAUUUCAAAAACGAGACAAAAAUGAUUGUAAAGAAAAAACACUAAAUAAGGAGACAAAUUCAGGCUAGUUUGCGUUCGAAUUUUACAGGGUAAGGCAACAACUUGGCUGUAGUAGGCAUCUGGUUUGCAAAAAUCCAGCAGAAAACAAUUGUAUGGACAACAAAUUGCGAUGCUCCGAUGCGACUCUCUAACAAUGUAAAGCUGUUUUGAAGUGGUGAAGGAACAAGGGUCAUGGCGCCAGAUAACCGAGUUGUAUCAGCAACCAUUUUUAUGAGCCUGCUGCCUCGGCUUCCAUGCUCGAUUCUGGUAACUUUGUCAUCUACAACUCGGACUCAAAUAUCAUUUGGCAGAGUUUUGAUACUCCAACCGAUACCAUUGUAUCUGGCCAGCGAUUGCUGGCUAGAAAGAAGCUUGUCUCCAGCAUCUCCGACACAAAUCAUGCAAGCGGAAGAUUUAGACCUUCAAUGUAGCGUGAUGGGAACCUAGAGAUGUACCUGGAGUGUCCAAUUAUAUUACAACCUGAUUGAUCGGUAUGCUUACUCAAAUAGUGGGACGUACAGGGCUGGAGACAAUGAGUCACUCAACGUUGAUCACAAUGGACAGUUAUAUCUCCUCAGUUACAAUAUAAGGAACGCUACGAAUCAGAAAGAGCUGUUUGACACACACACGUAUGUACCACAUGAUGAUUGACUUUGAUUGUAUUACUCCAGUUAUACUUCCAUACUAUUUAUAUUUAAUUUUAAAUUUUAAAUGAUUUUUAACCGCACGAUAUACAUGAACGGACAUAAUUAUGGGAUCCUCCAAAUUCCUGAGAAAAGGACGUCGAACAAGAAUCUUUGGUUGCUCCAUUGUCUCAUUUGACGGACUGAAAUAACGGAGCUAACAAACUGUAAGUACAAAGGACGAAAGUGAAAAGAAAAAGGCUAAAGGGAGGUAAGUGAUAAUUCGAUUUAAACUAACGGGACCAUGAGUGCAAUCUGACUCGCUCCUUAACUUGGAAAAGCCAACCAGGGCGUUCCAAGUGUGAUGAUGAACACGUGCCGAAACACCAUUGGAUUCUGGAGGGGAACCAGUGAGGCCUCCCGCAGCAAAGCCACACAAAAUGAUACACAAGCGAUCUGAGUCGUCGGCGAGGAUCCUUUUCCGUGAAAAAUCGAUCGAAGAAGCAAAGGCAGGUCACUGAAUAAAGAAAUAAAAACACAGAAGCUGAAGCUGUUGCGGGAAAAAGCUUGACCAAAUCAGGGUUCCCGAAUUCGAAUCGCCAACGAGGUUAACCAGAUUAGGGUUUUAACAAAAUUUUUAAGUUACUUUUACCAUGUUGUAAUUGCUUAAUUUUUUUUGCUGAAAUUCAGAAAUUUGCAGGAAAACUGAAAUGGGGGACGGCCUAUGGAACCGCCAGCAGCAGCAGCAGCAGCAGCAUCAACUGGGUCCCUCUGGCGGCGUGCAUAAACGACCUCGUUCCGACUACGGUAACUCCUCUGUGGCCAUUUCUCAUAGUUUUUUUCUUUAAUUAGAUGAAAUUGCGAUUGCAUUCGUUUGCAUUAUAGAUUUAGUUGUCAAACCAUUUAAUUUCUGACUUCUUGUUUAUAAUUCGAGCGAUAUUAUAAUCUAAUCGAAACUAUGGGGAGAGGGGGAUUCGAACUUGGGUGCAGAUGGGGAGCACACUGCUCGAGCCAACUUAGCUAGGCCAAAGUCUGCUUCUUCGUGUUAUAAGUGUUUUUACUUUAGUGGUUCUUGAUGGGUUUCGGGUUUCAAUGUAAAUUAUGUUUCAAAGUGGUGAAAUUUAUGUGAAGGGUCAAGGGUAUCUAGACAAAGGAUUCCAGUUCAGUUGUCUGAUGACUCUGCUUGUAUGUAUCUCCCCUUACUCUAGUAGAUAUGCAGAUUCUGGUUUUGUAGCUAGGUGUCUCUUUUCUUUUCUUUUAUAAAAAUUACAAUAAAUGUUUUGCUUCCAUAGUUCCAUGUGUACUCUUACAUCUUCGGGGUCUUCUUGAAGCAUAUAAUAUAGUCUUAGCCUAUCUGUUCCACUUACUACAAUUGCGAUCAACACUCAUACUCGUAUGAUUCCAUAUAAUAAUGUAUCUUCCACGAAAGCUUUACUAAGCAUAUGAUUUCUGUUAUUAUUUUCUUUGUAACCAGAUCACAGUUUUUGGCCUUCAUGUUUCCUUCGGUCCAUUGUUAAUGAUAUUAUUUACUGGAUUUCAUAUUUAGAGCAACUUUUGAAUGAUUUCCACAUUAGCGGUAGUUUUAGAAGUUACUGGUUGUUAUUAAGUUAUGUUCAAGGGGGGAAAACCUUGUUCGGUGUGUUUGCUAAGACCUGUGUGAAAAUGGAAACUACUACAAAAUCAUUCAGGUUUCCAAUUACAUUGCAAGGUACUUAAGAAUGGAUCUUUUCCUGAACCCAACCAAACCCCAAACCUCUGAAAUUAUCAAGUAGAUUCUUUCCUUUUAGUGCGGUCAGUCUUCCAAUCUAAUACUAUUCUUCAAUAAUUAUGGUAAUAAGAUCCUCCAUACAUAUUUAUAAUGCAAUUAUGUUUAUAUACAAAUUGAUGCAUAUUAUUGGUAUACAUUUUGAUAUAACCAAAUUCCCCUUUUUUUUCAUUUAGUUAUUUGUUUGCUGAGUUGUUCUUGUUAUAACUUCUUAGUCACUGAUCAAAAGCCUAGACUUGUAUAUUGUAUGUAGAUGUUUUGAUUGGUAUGUUUUCUUUGUACUUUUGAACAUUGGUGGCAGUUUUACUUGUUCAAAUACCACCUAGUUGUUAGUAGUGAUAUUGUUCAUUCCGCACCUUGGGUCUAACUCUGCACAUUAAAGAGUAGGUUUUUACCUUGUUAAUUGACGGGGCAUACUCUACUUCCACCUCAUGCUUCUCAAUUGGUUUCUUGAUUUAAGUUCUUCCAUCUGCUUUUUUAUUUUUUAUGCCUUUUCUCUUGUUCUAUAGUUGUAAUAUAUACAGCUGAAUUAGGGUCUAUUUGUUAAUGUUUUCUCAAUGUUGUGCCUUUAAAUAUAGGUAAAUUAUGCGCUUGGUGCAUUAAGUUUGUUAAACAUGGGAAACAUAUUCUGUAAAAUGAUCUCAACUUUUGUUCUUCAAGUUAGGAAACAACCAUUCCACUAUUUAUGUUGUUUUCAGGGGGAUUGUGAAACAUGGUGAGUAGUUAGAAACAAAAAAAGGAACCUUUCAACUGGAAUAAAUGUUUCUGUCAUCCUCAGAGGCUCUGUUGUUGGUCCUCACUUUUCACGUAUAUCUGCUCUCAAAAACCUAUACCAAAAAACCAAACACCCUAUCGCCUCUCUCUUCCUUUCUUUCUCCAUCUCUCUUUGCCUCCUCAUCUCUCCCACUUUCUCUCUACACCCUCAAAACCUGCACUCCAGCCCCACUCCGAACGCCUGACCCAUUCAUCGAAACCAAUAUGUGGAACCUCUUCUCAACCUCCCCCGCCCCCGCCCCCGCAAUGUUGUCGUCUCGUCUCUGAUUUGAAAACAUUUGGUUGUGGGUUGUUUUCAAUAUAAUAAGUUGGACGUGAAUAAUUGUUAGUGAUAAAUUUGGAUGGUAGAGUUUGGUAUUAUUUCAAUUUAAACUGGAGUGGUCAAGAAUUUGGUAGAACUUGUAAAAUGGAGAAACUGAAGAUGGUGAAUCAGACUUGGUUUCAGUUUAAACGGGGAUAGUUAUACCGUACUUGUAUGGGAUAUAGAGCGAUGUUGGAUGCAGCUUUAUUUUAUUGUAUCGGUUUUGUUUUGGUGUCGGAAUGGUUAUACUGUACUUGUAUCUGUUUCUUUAUCUCGUUUUGGUGUUGCUUUAUUUUUUUAUUGCUUUUAAAUCUGAAAUGGUUAUACUGCACGUGUAUUGGAUAUAGGUCUGAUGUUGGAUGUUUAUUGAUAUGAAUGUUCCAUUUAAUAGGGCUCUAACUCACAAUGGUUUUGGUUAGCUUUGAUGCGGGCAUGGGAUAAAUCAAUUUCACUAUUGUGCCGUUUAAAAGGGCUCUUAACUCACAAUGUUUUAAUAUAUUUGUUUGGUUCAUUGAUACGUCUUGUCAAAAUGUGUUUACAUUAGUUACGUGUUUGAACUUUGAUUAUAAUAUUUAGUUGAAAAUAGUUUUUCAAAAUAUUGCUGCCUAAUACAAAUUCAGUAAUUUAAUUUUUUUCUCAUACUAGCACUGAACACAUUUUCACUGUUUUUGUUUUUAGAAACAUUUUUUCAAACUAUUCUACCAGAUGCAUUAUCUAAUGUUAAAUUACAAGAAUGUUAUAUCAUUUUCAUUUUCUGAAAGGUUUUUAUGCAGAUGGUUUUGUAAAACAUCACCUGAUAGGCUCUUACUUUUCUGUAUUGUCAACCUGUCUUCAGGUCAAGAGAUGCAUGGUUAUUUUGCGCGAGAGGAUGAUCUUGGUGGUCCUAGGACUGUAAAGGAUAACAGAUCAAUCGGAUCAGCAUAUGACCGUUAUCUUCAGAAUGCGGUGACUUUCUUAAGCAUUUGAAACUAUGCCUAUUAUUAUUUGUGUUACAUCUCUCUGUUUCUGUACUAAAACAUUUGUCCUACUUGCUUCUAAAGGAAAUGGCUUCGUACACUUCUGGAGAAGCGAGUACUUUUGGUGGAGCUGGAAUGGGAAGGGCUGUUGGUGGUGGAAUGACAGGUCCUCCAAUGGCUGAUCAUUCUAUGAGGGGCCGUCCUGGAGCUAUGUCUUCUGAUGUACUAACAAAUGGUCGAAAUAUGAAUCUUGCUAAUCAGCUCCCAGUUGAUUCAAUGCCUAGGCCUGGACGUGAAACAGUUCCUUUACCUCUGGAUGCAUCCAGCACUUUAUAUGUUGAAGGACUUCCUCCUGACAGCACAAGGAGGGAAGUAGCUCGUAUCCUUUAUGAUGCUUAAGAAUUAUUGCAUAUUGCUUUCCAAUCUUAUUGUUUAACUCAAUAGUUUUUCCAUCGCUCCUCCUUUACAUAACUCUUAAGAUAUCUUUCGUCCUUUUGUGGGAUACAAAGCAGUGAGGCUUGUGAGCAAAGAGUCCAAACACGUAUGUGGGGGUGGAUUAUUGUAAACAAUUACUUUUCUUAGUCAUUCUGUUUUUCUUGAUCACUCUGACUUGAGAUUGUCGUUGUGCUACUUGGUUCGACUCUUGGGAAGUUUAUAAUCUUUCUUCACACUAAUAUUCCGGUUUGUCCAUAAUGCAGCGUGGCGGGGAUCCUCUUAUUCUUUGUUUUGUGGAUUUUGAAAAUCCAGCCUGUGCAGCAACUGCUCUGAGUGCCUUGCAAGGUGAUUGCUUUUUAUUGUCAUCAACCUUGGUGACUAUCAGUGUCAAAGAAAGCUUAAUUCUUUCUUUCUGUUUUUAUUUGUUUCCUUUAUAGCUUCACAAGUGUUAUUUUCUAUCAUACCUUAUUCAAUCAUGUAAAGGGUAAAUUUAUGUUAAAAUUCUUCCAUGCAUAGUAGGUGUAAAGAGGUUGAGGCAGUUCAUAAAAAUGUUAUAGAUGGCUUCUUGUGAUUUAAUAUUGGAGUUCAUAAUAUCUCUACACUACAUAUCGUGUAGAACUAGCUGGAUUGCUCAUUAUUUUCCCAUGUUUGUUGUUUUUGAAAAGCUGGAAGAUGCUGACAUUUGUGUUGCUGGAAGAUGCUGACAUUCAUGUAAUUCCAUGCAUAGUGUUUUAGUAUGUGUAAAGACGUUGAGGCAGUUGAAAAAAAAAAUGUUAUAGAUGGUUUCUUGUGAUUUAAGAUUGAAGUCCAUAAUAUCUCUACACUCCCGAUUGUGUAGAACUAGUAUUGCUCAUUAUAUUUUCCCGUGCUCGCGGUUUUUGAAACGCUGGAAGAUGCUUACAUUUGUGUUGCGUUUGCAGGUUAUGAAAUGGAUGAACAUGCUCCUGAUUCUAAUUACUUGCGGCUGCAGUUUUCUCGGUUCCCUGGUCCUAGGUCUGGACCUGGCCGUAACAAGAGGUGAUAGGCAUUAGGUGAUGAGAAAUAUCUGUUUUUGAUGUAAUCAAGAUUGCAUUUGCUUUUAAUACAUUCCAUAUAUAUAUAUAUAUAUAUAUAUAUAUAUGUAUUGCUCAGGCUUGGGCACACACCAACUGUAAGCACUUCUGAUGCACAUUGUUGUUUCGAGGUAGUGAAUCAGAAACAGUUUUAUAGUUGUGCAAUUAAACAGAGAUCUGAUUUUGCACGUCCAUGGUCUACAAAAUUUGUAAGUGUUUUUAGAAGUGGCAAGUUUCUCAGGCACAAACCCUUUAAAAACUAGUGUGUUUUUUUAGCAUGGAUUUGCAGGCUUCUGUUACAUAUAUCAUAUGGUAAGUGAUUUCCGCUCGCUUUUUCUCCUUGUACAACUCCUUUUUUCCUAGUUUAAGGGUUGGAUAAAUCAAAUCAAAGGAGAAUAAGUGGAAAGAAACAUAAGGUGAAUGCAGGAGGAGAAAAUGGGAACGUGCCGAUGACUACCGAUCAAACUCGUCUUUUCUUGUAACUUCCAACUGCAUGGAGAAAAGCAAGACACUGCGUGAUGAGAAUGGGCAUUGCAUGGUGUCAUGUCUUGUGGUGUUAGAAAUUUGAUCCGAGUCCUUCCCAUUUGGACUACAGUUAAGGACAGGCUCUACUAUGUCCUCCCAAUGCUAAGCACUAGGUAGUGGGCUGCCGACUAGUCUAUGUGCCACUGUACAUAUCACAUGGGCUUUCAACCCAUAAUCCUAUCCUGCUAGAGCUUCCCCCUACCCUUCUUGAAAUUAGUAUACCGUCAGGUAUGUUGCUGUCUCUCAUAUCACGUGACUAAUGAUUCGUUUGGAAUUACUUCUUUCAGAAACACUUAUACUACAAGUGUUUUUAUUGUAGACACGUUAAAUCUUUACAAACAAUCCAAGUGUUCAUUGAAAAAUAUUUGAAAGUGCUUCUUGAAAAAGCAUUUGGCAAGUGCUCCUCUAAAGAUAGUUUAUACGAGUCAAAAGAAUUUCUAAUAUUUUAUCUUUAUGCCAAUCGCAACAGAACACAUUUAGCUUUUCCAGAAUCAAUCCUAAACUAGUUCUAAGCAAAGAAAGGGCAAUAUAACAUAAGGACAACGAAGAAUCUCUCUAACAUUAAAGGUUAUGUUUGUUCGGUCACUAGACUCAAACAAAAGAGAAAAGUAGAAGUGGGCAAUAAAUUGGUUUUCGAUUACCAUCAAAUUGGCACAACAUUCGGCAUUGUUUCGCAAAAGACUGCUUUUUUUUCUUAGCAUUAGUUUUACACACACUCUAGUGUGUGGUAAAAACAAGCUAGGGUUUGGUUGGAGAACAAGUCUGAGCAGUUACAUGCCAUGUGGGCUGGAGGGUUUCGUUUGGUGCCAUUACUCUUUUUUCUUGUUCUAUCAUCCUUGUCGAACUGGAAGAGAAAAAGGAGGGGAAAAGGGAGUUUAGGGCAAAAAGGAUACUGAGUUUAUAAACCAGGAAAUGUCUAAGCAAUUUGUUUGUGCCAACGUGACUGUUAUCUAAAUAUAGCGUACUUGUGGUAUAAAAGAAAAAGGCAAAAAGGGUAACUGUAAAUAGUUGUUGUACUUAAGUGUAAAUUGUCCCACAACUUGUCCAGGGACCAGUGCAUAUAAGUUGUAGCUGCAAGUGCAAGGAGCAACCUCUGGAUUAGAUAGACGGAUGGACUUGGUUUGGUAUGAUUCCAAGUCGUCGUUGAUGUUUCUUCUUCUUUGUGGCCCAGCCACCCAGGACUAUAGUCCUUAUUUGGUAGGUAUUUAUUGCAAGGCUAACUAUAGGAUUGGAGAUAGACAAAGGGAGAUGGGACAUGGAGAAUGGUUUGCCAAGUUUGUUUAGAAUGGAUCGGGAUCAAUGCCCGUUGGAUCCCUAGUAAUUGAAUAUUAGUUAAAGAUUCAACGUCUAUGAAUCUCGGUCUAUGUUAUGAACUGUUUUUACAAUUUUCGUUCAUUGUGUAUCACGUAAUAUGCAUAAUGUUAGACAAUCCACUUGUUUUAUUUGAGACAACUGUAUUUGAUGCACUUCCUAAUUUCUGUUUUCUGACUUGCUUCAAUCUACAUUCUCUUGAUAUUUUUUUUUCCAUUUUACUCGGUUUUAUGAUAGUGAGAACAUUCAACAUGGCCUCUUCUUCCUCAAGUUGCUUCUUUGUGAUACGUAUAUCUGUUUUUGUACUAAAACAUGUAUCCUACUUGCUUUUAAAGGAAAUGCCUUCGUACACUUUUGGAGAAGCGAGUACUUUUGGUGGAGCUGGAAUGGGAAAGGCUGUUGGUGGUGAAAUGACAGGUCCUCCAAUGGCAUGAUCAUUCUAUGAGGGCCAGUCCUGGAGCUAUGUCUUCUGAUCUAUUAACAUAUGGUCGAAAUAUGAAUCUUAUUAAUCAGCUCCCAGUUGAUGCAAUGCCUAGGCGUGGACGUGAAACAGUUCCUUUACCUCUGGAUGCAUCCAGCACUUUAUAUGUUGAAGGACUUCCUCCUGACAGCACAAUGAGGGAAGUAGCUCGUAUCCUUUAUGAUCCUUCUAUGAUGCCUAAGAAUUAUUGCAUAUUGCUUUCCAAUCUUAUUGUUUUACUCAAUAAUUUUUCAAUCGCUCAUCCUUUACAUUACUCUUUAAGAUAUCUUUCGUCAUUUUGUGGGAUACAAAGCAGUGAGGCUUGUGAACGAAGAGUCAGGUUUGUCCAUAAUGCAGCGUGGCGGGGAUCCUCUUAUUCUUUGUUUUGUGGAUUUUGAAAAUCCAACCCAUGCAGCAACUGCUCUGAGUGCCUUGCAAGGUCAUUGCCUUUUUCUUUUCAUCAACCUUGGUGACUAUCAGUGUCAAAGAAAGCUUAAUUCUUCGUUCUGUUUUUAUUUGUCUCUUUAAAGGUUUGUAAAUUUUUUUUCUAUCGACCUUAUUCAACCAUGUAAAUGGAAAAUUUAUGUUAAAAUUCUUCCAUGCAUAGUAGGUACAAAGUGGUUGAGAUAGUUCACAAAAAUGUUAUGGAUGGCUUCUUGUGAUUUAAUAUUGGAGUCCAUAAUAUCUCUACACUCCAGAUCGCGUAGAACUAACUAGAUUGCUCAUUAUUUUCCCGAGCUUGUUGUUUUUGAAACGCUGGACGAUGCUGACAUUUGUGUUGCGUUCGCAGGUUAUGAAAUGGAUGAACAGGCUCCUGAUUCUAAUUACUUGCGGCUGCAGUUUUAUCAGUUCCCGGAUCCCAGGUCAAGACCUGGCCGUAACAAGGGGUGAUAGGCAUUAGGUGAUGAGAAACAUCCGUGUUGAUGUAAUCAAGAUUGCAUUUGCUCUUAUACAUUAUAUAUAUUGCUCAGGCUUGGGCACACACUAAUUGUAAGCACUUCUGAUGCACAUUGUUGUUCUAGGUAGUGAAAUCAGAAACAGUUUUAUAGUUGUGUUGAACGAUCUGAUUUUGCACGUCCAUGGUCUACAAUUUACUCAAGGAAUGUUUUAAUUCUGAAUUGAGAUUGUACUGUGCAUAGACUACCGCAAAAUUAGUACAGAGAUAGUUUCCCUAUAGAUUGUUUUCAUAUACUAGAGGACUUCCAUGGCCAGGGUAUCUUGCCACCAUAUUGUCCCCGUACAUUUUCCCUCCAUAUUAGUUAUAUAUUUAUCUGGACAUUCUAACCUAAUGAAGUCCUACAAUCAUCAUAACUCAUUUUACUUAGCUCAUGCUCCUUACAAUAUUUGAUGAACUCACAUAAGAAACUCAUAGAAAUUUGUUCCCAGUCAUUACCUUUGGACUGCAGUUGAAGCUUAUGAUACAUCCUCCCAAUGCUAAGCACUAGCUAGUGGGUUGUCGACUAAUCUAUGCCACCGUACACAUCGCAGGGGCUUUGAACUCUGUCUCAAUUAUUGUAAAGACGUUAGCCUCUUCAAUGAAAGAACCCAUAGUCCUAUGCUGCUAGAGCUCCCCCCACCCUUCUUGGAAUUAAUAUAGUGUUAGGACAUAUCGCUCUAUUUCUCACAUCACGUGACUAAUGAUUUCUUUGAAGUUACUUCUUUAGGAAACACUUAUACUACAAGUGCUUUUAUUAUAUAGAAUCUUUAUAAGCAAUCCAAGUGUUCAUUGAAAACGUAUUUGAAAGUGCUUCUUGAAAAAGCAUUUGGCAAGUGCUUCUUGAAAAAGCAUUUGGCAAGUGCUUCUAUAAAAGAGCUUAUUGGGUCAAAAGAAUUUCUAAGUUUUUUUUUCUGCCAAGCACAACAGAAUACACAUUUUAGCUUUUUCCAGAACCAAUCCCAGACAAGUUCUAAGCAAAGAAAGGGCGAUACAGCCUGAAGACAACGGAGAAUUUCCCUGACGUUAAAGGUUUUGUUUGUUCGGUCACUAAACCCAAAAAAAUAGAAAACUUGAAGUGGGCAAUGAAUUGGUUUUCGAUUUCCAUUAAAUUGGCACAACAUUCGGCAUUGUUAUGCAAAAAUAUACUUUUUUCUUAUCAUUAGUUUUACACACACUCUAGUCUGUGGUAUAAAAUGAGCUAGGGUUUGGUUGGAGAACAAGUCUACGUGGUAUCAUCACUUACAUUACAUGCCAUGUGGGCUGGAGGGUUUCAUUUGGUGCCAUUACUCCUUUUUCUGUUCUAUAAUCAUUUUGGAACUGGAAGAGAAAGUGGAGGGGAAAAGGUAGUUUAGGGCAAAAAUUUUCCAAUCAAUUUUUUGGCAGUGUGACUGUUUUCGAAAUAUAGAGUAGUUGUGGCAAAAAAGAAAAAGGAAAGGGGUAAUUGUACAUACACAUUGUUCCAAAGGGUCAGUUGUCCCACAACUUGUCAAGGGACCAGAGCAUUAAGUUGUAGCUGCAAGUGCAAGGAGAAAGUUGUGGAUUAGAUAGACCAAUGGAUUUGGUUUGGUUUAAUUCCAAGUCAUCGUCGUUUCUUCUUCUAUGUGGCCCAGCCGCCCAGGACUUUAGUCCUUAUUUGGCAGGUACUUAUUACAAGGUUAGAUAAAGGGAGAUGAUACAUGGAGAACGGUUUGCCAAGUUUGUUAGAGUGGAUCCGGAUCCAUGAGUGUUGGAUCUCUAGUAAUUGAAUCUUUAGUUAAAGAUUCAAUGUCUCAACGAUCUAUGCUAUACAUUUGUCUUUACGAAUUUUCAUUCAUUGUGUAUUACAUAAUAUUCUUGACCCUCUUAUAUGUGACUUCGGCCGACUUCUAUCACCCGAUAUCGUUGUGUAAUAACUUGAUGAGAUAGCCAAUGCUUAGGUCAUCUUCAAUGGAGAUGGCUAAAGGUCAAAAAGCUAAAAAAUAGUAUGAUUUGUUCAAAAACUCAUCUCCAACCAAUGUCAGAGCUAUAAUUAUAUGGAGCCCACCAUGCCAUUAUUUGGCUAGUGCCCCUUUCUUAGCCCCUUUUUGGGGCCUAGCUCCUCGAUUAUGCCAUCUGCAAUGAAGAGGGCUAAAUGUCUAAAAGCCAAAAAAUGACAUGAUUUACCCAAAAACUCAUCUCCAACCAAUAGCUAGGUUAUAAUUCUAUGGAUUCAACAGUUAGAUUUGGAAACAUCCAAUGUUAGUUUAAUUAAAUUAAAGUAUAAACUUAAAACUAAUAAAUUAUUAGGGAGCCUAUGUUUUAGCCCUUUCGGUUGGAGAUGGUAUAUGAGUAUGGCCGACACUAUUCAUUUAAAAAUAAUUUUUUUGUUGGGUUAUAAUUUUGGAUGAGGCUAUGUCUAGCCCUUUUGGUUGGAGAUGACCUUACAAUGAUUAAUUCAAAUUCAAUGGUUAAAUUUGAAAAUAUCCAACAAAACAUCCAACAGUAGUUUAAUUAAAUUAAUCAAUAAUUUUAAGUAUAAACUCAGAACUAAUAAAUUAUUGAGGGAGUUAUGUUUAGCCUUUUCGGUUGGAAAUGAUAUAUGAGUAUGGCCUAAUACUGUUUAUUAAAAAAAAAAUCUUUAGUUAUCUCUGCUAAUCAAUAAAACACUCAUUGUCAACCAAAAUCCUAUGAAAUUACCAGUUUAACCUUCUAAUUAAAACAAAACAUGAAUAAGAAAUAUGGGGCGGAAAUUUAAUUUUACACAAACAAAAUUUGUUGUUUUUUUUUUUCAAAACUUCAUCUAUAUAUAAUUCUAACAUAUCUCUAAUUAUAAAAUAAAUAAAAAAUAAAAAUAAAAACUUCCUACUCCCACAUUCUCUAUCACUCCCUUCCUCUCUUCUUUUAUUUUAAAACAAAAAAAAAAAUUUCACAUACUUUAUAUAUGCCCAUAUGCUAGUAAUUAUAAACGAAACUAUAUUUAACUAUUUCGUUGAAAAUGACCGUACGAGUAUGUAAAUUUUGAAAUGUGAGUUGUCGUUCACUACGCAAGCAAAGAUCGAAAGCCUUCAUGUACCGAGGGGUCCCACUCCUUGAAUCAGAAUAAAAGUGCUUUGAAAAAGUCCCUUUAAUUAUGUCCAAGUUUGGAUAAAAUUUGUCCAUGCAUGGCAUGCACUCACUGACUGAUCUCGUCGUCCUGAAGGGUAAGAGAGGUAAAUUCCAGAAUAACCCACGAGGCACUGUAUGAAGCCUGUCAAUUACAUCAACUCAUCAAGCUUUCAAUCUUUUCAUGGCAUGCCUAACUUCUGUGAAAUAUGCUCAACAUUUAACAUUUUGUAAACCAAAAAGAGAGUAAGAGAGAGAUGAUUGAAGUAAUAAAGUAAAAGCGAAAUGCAUGCAUUGAUAAAAGGAAAUUUUAACAAAAAAAAUUUCGGUACUGUUUACUUUAACAAAAAAUUAUAUUUUUACAUUAAAAAGUCAAUUCUAAUACUAUUCAUUUUACCCUUUAUUUGUUCUUUAUUGUUAAAAAUCAAAUUUUUCAAUCCAUUUUUAUUAGUUUUCCUUUGAUAAAAGGAGAAAGAUGCAUGGAGAACUGGUUUUUUAUUUUAUUAUUAUUUUUUUUACAAACAAUAAUAUUAGAGUGGAUUAAGUUAUUAGCUGUUAGCGAGAAGAGGAUCAAUAAUAAUCAAACUAGCACCCGGAUGUAUAAGCAUAAUUGUUUUCUAAAAUUGCAAUAAAACGUCACUUUCCAUAUAUAUAUAUAUAAAAAAAAAAAACUUAUUGUUCCUUGUAUGAUGGAUUGCAAUCUCAAUAUCGUUCUUAAUGGAACGGCCACAAUUAGUUGUUCAGGACAUAAACAAUAUGUAUUGUCUUUAUAUUUAGGAAAUUGGCUCUGUUAGCCUUAUUACAAACCCAACAAUUAAAAAUACUCCCAAAUUAUAAUCUCUAUUAGCCCUCUUUUCCUUAAAUACCACUAACUUGAAAGAUGAACUGUUAUUCUAUGUCUCGACGUUGGAUCUCGAUGGCAUCCAAAAGGGCCUCUCAACUCCCUUCCGACUGUAUCUCGACUGAAUCACGACGGCAUCUCAACGGCACAGAACUGAAUUACCCUUAUAUUUAUGAGUUGAUCAGACACUCCAAUUAAAUAAAAAUAACUAUAAUUAUGUCAAAAUUAUUUAGUCAGUCUCACGUAUAUAUAAUUAAUUCAUCAAACACAUAAACAAAAAAGUUCUUGUAUGUAUGCUAUACUUUGAUUUGUCUCAACAAGAAAUGACUCAGUCAUCUUUUUAUCUAUGUCCAUUGAGUUUAUGGAGGGCAACAUAUUGAGAUCUCAAAAAUCUUAUUCUCAUACAACACACUUUUUUUUUUGAACAAACGAUAUUAUCUACACUAAGGGAAAAUGGGUGGCCUAAACCUCACAAUGGGCUAGCAAUAAUGUGGUUCAAAUUCACAUUUGGCGAGAAUCAAACCUAAGACCUCUCACUGACAAGUGAAGAAGAAUAUCACUAGACCGUAGUCCUAAAAAAAAUAUAGAUCUUAUAGUCUUGCAGUGUUUUAGAUUAGCUAAAACGUUGGUAUCCAUAUUAACUUACCAAAAAAAAUAUGUUGAAUUUGCUACACCUGGAAUUUGUAGCAGAUUUGUCAUUUUAUAAAGGGGUUUUUAACUCAUUUAAAAAAAAAGAAGGGGUUUUUAACUUUAAUUCUUAAAAAAAAUUGAAAUUUAAUAAAAAUCGGAUGUUAGAUUACAUAUUAAUUAUUGUCCUUUAAUGUGUUAUUAACUCAAAUUAAUUAAUGUGUAUUUUAUUCAAUAUCUCACAUUAAAUAUUUGAAUUUAUGAAAAUGAAAAUUAUAAUAAAAUAUAAUUAAUAUAUCAAAAUUAGAAAGAAAAAGAGAAAUAAUUAAAACAUCAAAAUAUAAUUAAUAAAUGAAGUAAUUAACAUAUCAAGAGACUAAAAUUAGAUUUUAAUUUUACUCAUGUUUUUAAUUUAAAGUUAUUUUUAUCAAAAAUUAAAAUGAAGUUUCCUAUUUUGUAAAUUACAACGAUGAAAAAUGACGCGUUGCACGUAAGAAACAACAUCUAUAUUUUCUCUUUUGUUUAAUAUGCCAUCAAACAUAUCCAUCACAUUUUAAAUUUUGUGGAAGUCCCUCUCUCACAUUGAUAAAGUCUGGUUUGUGUUGGACAGCUGUCCAACAGACAACCCAAAAAUCUUCCAAAAACCAACAAACAUUUCUGACCAGUCAUGCAUACGUAUGCAUGGACCCAAUGGCAUAUAAUCAAAAAUUUUAAAUAAUGGGAUCGUAAUGUCAACUUAAAAAAAAGUUUCAUUAAGCUAUUUCAUCGAACAUUUAGUAAGCAAUUGUCAAUUCUUGUCAACAAUGCCAAAAGUUUAUGUUAAAAUAUAUCAACUACGAUAAUUUGUAGAGGCUUGUCGAGAGUGAUGUAGGAUACUACGAAGUAAUAUUGAGAACUCUUAAAGCUUUUCAACUAAAGUAUUUUAUAUAAAAAGAGAGAAAAGAAAAACAAAUAUGAUAGAAGAAAAUAGAAGAAGUAAGAAGAUGAGGUUGUAAGUUAGUUUGCUUUAGCUAUUUAUAAUGGUCAAAUAAAAUAUACAAACAAAUAUACAUGAGAUUUUUAAAGUUGUUGAGAUCAAGGAUAAUCAAUGAUCCCAUUCUAGUUUUGCCAUUGCAUGGGCCGGAUAGGGAUAUGGCUAAAAUAUAAUUCUAUUAAUUGCGUUUUGGGACUUUGUCUAACAACUUGGCUCUCUCUUGACUUGGAUGCCAUGGAUGGCUCAUGCAGUUUACUAAAACUAGUAAUGUACAAUUUUCAGAGACUAUUAAUUAUCAUCUAUCAGGAAAAUUUGAUUUCCAUGCUUGCCCUUUCACGUCGGUGACUUGGAGAUAAUAUUGUUUCUUGUCCGGAGAUGAAAUAAAAUAAAAAGACUUGCACGAUCAUACUGCAUUAUAUAUAUUACACUAUAUAGUCUAUGUUGGGAGUUAUAUAUUAGUUAAAGUAUAAAUAGUAGUCUGUUAUCCUAUAUUGAUGAAGUGCAUAUGUAAUACAAAUUGUAAUUCCUAUAUAUACUCCAUUUUGGAGAUUAAUGAAUAUAUGAGAAAUUCUCAAAUAUUAUCAUAUAUAUUUUUGGUAUUUACCAUGUUUAGUUUAAUAUAGCAUCAAAGCAGUUCGCUCUUGGUGACCUGUGUGCUUUAAUUUUGUGCCCCACAUUUGUCAUGAUUUCCUUCGUCUUGAAAAAAAAAAAGGAAAGUAAAUAGUGUUGCACUACAGUACAAACAGUGCGUAAACAGUGGUAUGCUACAGUGUUCAUGAACAAUAUUUUGCUACAGUGCCAUUAACAGUGAUCUACUACAUCACUUGAACAGUGAUGUGCUACAGUAUUAUGGUAAAUUGUUUUCAUUCCGCUGCCUAUCUUUUGUGCCUUUAUUGUUUGUGAUUUAAUUCAAUGGCUCAGUAUAAUCAUAAUGUUGUUAUGCAUCUUGGUGGAACAAAUAAAUGGAUAAUUGAUACUGGGACCACUAAUCAUGUGACUAGUGACCCUAGAAUGUUUGAUGAGUUAUGUGACUAUAUUCUUGAUCCGUAUAUUACUAGUGCAAAUGGAGCACAUUCCCCCGUGAAUGUUGAAGGCAUUAUCUCUCUUACUUCGACCUUAUCACUGGUCCAUACUUUACUUGUUCCUGAUGUUAAGUGCAAUCUUUUGUCGGUAGAAAAACUACUUGAUACUUUAUAUUGUUUUGCUCACUUCUACCCUACGUAUUGUUAUUUUCAAGACAUUCAAACUCAGAAAGUAAUUGGUCAUGGUAAAAGAAUAGAGGGUUGUACAUCUUGACUAUGGAGGAUACUGUUGUUUCCGGUUCAAAUAAUCAUCAAGUUUUAAGUGCUAAAGUGGAUGACAUACAUCAAAUUUGGUUGUGGCAUUGGCGAUUAGGACGUCUAUCAUUCAGUUAUAUGAAGCAUCUAUUUCCUGCUUUGUUUCGCAUUUGUAGUGAUUCAUAAUUCAAGUGUGAAGCAUGUGUCAUGGCUAAGAGUCAUCGUGCUUCCUUUCCCAUAAGUGAUUCUAAAGCUACUUUGCCAUUUGAUUUAAUACAUUCUGAUGUGUGAGGUCCGGCAAAUGUUACUUCUAAUGAAUUUCGUUGGUUUGUUACUUUUAUUGAUGAUUGUACUCGAUUAACUUAGGUGUUAUUGAUGAAGAAUAAGAGUGAUGUUCAUUUGCUUCUUCAAGAAUUUUGUGCAAUGGUGUAUACUCAGUUUCAGACCAAAGUUAAGGUUUUCAGGUUUGAUAAUAGAGGAGAAUAUGUGAAUCACACUUUGACAUGCUUUUUUCGUGAUCAGGGUAUUAUUCACCAGACGACUACUUUGUUUACACCCCAACAAAAUGGUGUGUCAGAACAGAAGAAUCGUCAAAUAAUGGAGGUUGCUCACUCAUUGAUGUUGGAUAAAUGUGUUCCUAAUCAUUUAUGGGGUCAUGUUGUUUUGGCUGUUGUAUAUUUGAUAAAUCGUGUUCUAAGUAGGGUUCUUGAUUUUCAGACACCACUUGAUGUGUUACAAAAGCAUGUUUAUCUUGUUUCUGUAUCAAAACUUCCUCCGAAGGUGUUUGGGUGUAUUGCGUAUGUGUAUGUCUACUCUUAUCAGCGGAGUAAACUUGAUGCAUGUGUUCUUCGAUGUGUAUUUAGUAGGUAUGCUAACAAUCAGAAAGGCUAUAAGUGUUAUCAUCCUCCGACUCAUAAAACUUAUAUUACCAUGGAUGUCACUUUCCACGAGGAAGUUUCGUAUUUUGUGAAGCCAUCUUCCGACUCUCCACUUCAGGGGAAAAAAGGGAGUGAAGUGCAUAUUUGAAGAGAUGGUAUGGAUGAUGUGUUACAGGCAGAGUUGGGGAUAGAACCUAUUAUGUUGCGUGAUACUGAUCAGUCGGUUAUAGAUAGUGAUCUGUCACCUAUUAUUCCUAAAACUAUUUUUACUGACGACAGAUUAGAUGUGCCCAACGAGUUGCUUGUCAGUAUGUCUGACGAAUUACUUUCUGAUGACCGAUUGCUUGCUUCUGGUAUGUCUAACGAGCUGCCUGAUGAUGGUUAGUUCAGUGAUGGUUCAUCCAGUGAUGAUUCUUUUAACAAUUUGGUACAAGAUAAUGACAUACAUGAGUUAAAUUCUGACGAUUCUUCUAUUUAUUAGUUGCCUCCACGAGCUAAUCGUGGAAAACCUAAGGUACAAUAUGAGCCUGAUAUGCAUGCCAAAUCCAAAUAUCCUAUCAACAAUUAUGUGUUUACUCAUCGUUUGUCCAAACCAUUUUCAUCUUACAUAUGUCAGCUAUCUAGUGUAUCAAUUCCAACAAAAUUGCACGAUGCCUUGUCUGACCCUAAGUGGGUUAAUGCCAUGAGAGUUGAGAUGGAAGCCUUGGAAAAGAAUUCUACUUGGGAUUUGGUUCAUUUACCAAAUGGGAAGAAAGCUGUUGGAUGUAGAUAGGUGUUCACUAUUAAGCACAAAGCAGAUGGUUCUAUUGACCGGUAUAAAGCCAUAUUAGUUGCUAAGGAUUAUACUCAAACCUAUAGGGUGGACUAUCAGGAGAUUUUUGUUCUUGUUGCCAAACUUAAUACUGUGUGUGUUCUUCUGUCCUUAGUAGCAAACCAGGAUUGGCCUCUGUUGCAGUUUGAUGUUAAGAAUGAUUUCCUUCAUGGUGAUCUCAAGGAGGAAAUUUAUAUGGAUCUCCCACUUAGUAUUAGAACAUCUCCUGAAAAAUGUGUUGUAUGCAAGUUGCAAAAAGCUUUGUAUAGUUUGAAACAAUCUCUUAGAGUGUGGUUUUGGAGGUUUACAAGUUCAAUGAAGAAGUUUGGGUAUGUCCAGAGUCAUUCAAAUCAUACUUUGUUUCUAAAUUGUUUCUAAAGCCACAAAAUGGUAAGCUAACUGCAUUGAUUAUUUAUGUUGAUGACAUGUUAGUGACUAGUGAUGAUCAAAAGGAGAUACAACGCCUUAAAAAAGUACCUAGCUAGUGAAUUUGAGAUGAAAGAAUUGGGUGAAUUGAAGUAUUUUCUUGGAAUCGAGGUUGCACAAUCCAAGCAUGGUAUUUUUCUGUCUCAACAGAAGUAUGUUCUUGAUUUGUUAGUUGAAACAAAUCUGUUAGAUUGCAAACUUAUUGAUACUCUGAUUGAGCAAAAUCAUCAUCUGGGCUUAUUUCCGAAUCAAGUUCCUACUCAUAAGGAACGGUAUCAGAGGCUUGUGGGGAAAUUAAUUUAUUUGUCUCACACUUGCCCUGACAUUGCUUAUGCAGUUAGUGUAGUAAGUCAGUUUAUGCACUCACCUAGUGAAGCUCAUAUGGAUGAAAUAGUCCGUAUUUUGAGGUGCUUGAAGAUGGCUCCUGGCAGAGGCUUGGUUUUCUCCAAGAAUGGUCAUUUGAAUGUCGAAGGGUAUACAGAUGCAGAUUGGACAAGUUCUAUCACUGAUUGGCGGGUGGUAAUCUAGUUACUUGGAGAAGUAGAAACAAAAAAUGGUGGCUAGGUCAAGUGCUGAAGCUGAGUUUCGUGGUAUGUCUCAUGGUGUAUGUGAGUUGUUGUGGUUAAAAAAAUUGUUGAGAGAUCUUGGAUUUAAACCCAAUGGUGCUAUGAAACUCCAUUGUGAUAACAAGGCUGCUAUUGAGAUUGCUCAUAAUCCAGUGCAACAUAAUCAAACAAAACAUGUGGAGAUUGAUCAACAUUUCAUCAAGGAAAAUUUGGAUGCUGGAAUUAUUAUGUUUCCGUUUGUGAGAUCUGAAGAUCAACUCGCUGAUGUACUUACUAAGACUGUGUCUAAUAGUGUGUUUUCCAACUCGCUUGACAAGUUGGGCAUGCAUGACAUCUUUGCUCCAACUUGAGGGGGAAUUUUACGAGUUAUAUAUAGUUAAAGUGUAAAUAGUAGUCUGUUGUCCUACAUUGAUGAAGUACAUAUGUAAUACUAAUUGUAACUCCUAUAUAUACUCCACUUUGGAGAUUAAUAAAUAUAUAAGAAAUUCCCAAAUAUUGUCAUAUAAAUUUUUGGUAUUUAUCAUGUUUAGUUUAAUAGUCUAAACAUCAGGAAAUACACCAACCCUAAACCUAAUGGAUUUUAUGAAGCCGCUGGUUUGGGUACACAUUAAUCUAACCUAAUUGCUCUACCACAUUCUAAACACAAAAUUUGUUAUAAAUAGGAUGAUUAAAUUUAUUUUCUCAAGCGGUAGAGUAGUGAACCUCACAGCGACGACAAUCUUCCACCCCCAAAUUCGGGUUUUUUUGUACUAAAAUGGUCUUUUAUGUAUAAGAACUUUACGAUAAGUUUAUUAAAAUUGGCUCUGUAUCUACGAAAUCUCAACAUCCAUACGUUACAAAAUGGAUUAGAACUCCUAGGAAAUAAAAUAGAACAUAUGAUGAUCCCUUUAAAGGGCCUUAUAAUGGGGAAGACUUCUCACAGAAUAUAAGAAGACGAAGAGGAAAACUAAAAACUUAGAACUUCAAGGAGAUGGACUGGAGCAGGGAGAAUGGCAAAGAACCGGAACCCAGAAGACCCGCAACGAAAAAGAAAACACUGUACUUUUUUUAGACAUUUUUUCACAUUUCUUCUCGGCCUUACAGCCAAGUAGCAUUUUCCGACCCCAAAUAAAGAUAGAAGGAAAAAACCAAAUUAAGGUAAAUAAAUUUUCUAUAGCAACUUGGCAAACAAAAACAUACUAGAAGAAAACAAGGAAAAUACAAAGAAAUUAAGGAAGUAUGGGAAACAAAAUAAAUUUAAUACGGGACCAACGACAACGGUGCAAAUGUAUAUUGUUCAGGAAAUAAACUUUUAGCGAAAAUGUGCUGCAAAAUUGACCAAUUUUGCUUCAUAUUCACACUCAAUUUUUUUAAGAAUUAAUAUCUGUAGAGUUUAGACCAAAAAUAAAAUAAAAAACAAAACCAAAAUGCUACUCCACUUUCUUGGUACUUAACUCAGCUCUCCACCUCCUUCCAAUCUUACAAGCUUCUAGAUUUAGAUUUGUCUCAAAUCACAUGCCAACUAACCUGCCCAGCUCAAUUUUAUUUUUUCUUUGGAAAUUCCAGUGCGUCUCUACUUUUGUUUUUCUAAAUCUUACUUACUCCCAUUAUAAUUGGAAUUUUAUAUAUUUAUAUGGAUGCUUUGUCAAGAUAUGAGAGAAAUAGUAGUGAUUCAAAAAGAUGAUUAGGAGCCAAAAAUAUUUAUUAUUUUAGAUUGGUGUUUAUGUUUUUGAACAGUUAAAAACUUUUUUGGUCAUUGUGUUUAUGUUUAAAAUUUAUUUUGGUCACUGUAUUUUAUUUUCUGCUAAUUUAGUUACUGUGUUAUCACAAGUUAGCAAUCUUAGUCCUUCUCAAUCAAACGUUAAAAAAAACGCACAUGACAUGCAAGUGCAGGGGUAACUAUGUAAGUGAAAAUAUAUCUUUGCCCCUGCACGAAACUGUCACGUGCAUUUUUUUGGCGGUUGACUUAUGGUAACGCAGUGACCAAUUUGGCAGAAAAUAAAACACAAUGACCAAAAUAAAUUUUAGAAAUACACACAGCGACCAAAAACGUUUUAAUUUAACCCAUUUUUAACAGUCCAGCCAGCUACCAUGAAAGCUACAACAUGAAAGCUGACUGUCAAAAUUUUGUUUAAAAAUUCAUACACAAUAAUCGUCAUAAGAACGUGCAAUAGGUACUUUGAAUUCUUAAAUAUACUGCAUGGUUACCCUUUCCUUUUGUUUUAUACAGAGAAAUCUUGACAGGCAGUCAAAAGCAAAAUUAUGUUCUUCUAGUGAUAUCUGUGUGCUAAAAAGGAAGUACGUAGCUACGUUCAGUCUUCACCUAACACUCCUAUUUGCACCUAAAAGAUGUGGAUAACAAAGAUUUUGACCAAAAUCACAUUGACAAGUACUUGCCAAAGGAUCACGGAACCUAUGAUUGUAAAAGAUAUACGUGUUGGGCCUGACCGACGUUAAUUAGUUGUUCAUAUUGAUUUGAGAAAUUUGAUUGAAUGAGGAUUAACAAAUCACAAUUGCUAAAAUAUUAAAAUGUAUUAACUGCGACAUAUUGGUUAAAUAAUUAUUGCACAUCGAAAAAAUAUUGACGAGUAAUUAUGAAUUUUUAUUUUCAUUAUUUCAAACAUUUUUAUAUUAGAAAAGCUAAAGAAAAUGAUUUAAAAACUUUGAAUUUUAAUGAUACGUACAAAAUGAAAGGUAAAAUAAAUAGUACCAGAAUUAACUUUUUGUUUAAAUUUUAUUUUCUAUUUGGCAUCAACUUUUGGUUUAAAUAUACUAUAUAACCCUCACAAAAGAAAAAGCAUGGUGUACUAGUAGCUAAAAGACAUAAAAAAGGUUAAUCUUAAUUUAUUAUUCUAAAGUUUCUUAGUUUUCAAUAUUUGGUAUAUAAAGUUUUUUUUAUUCUAGAGUUGUACAUAAAGUUAUAAUUUUGGGAUACUUUCAUACAUCCAUUAAGGUUGCUGUUAAAUUUAUCAUUAACUGAUGAUAUGACAUUUAUGUUGACAAUGACACGUAGAUAUUAAAAAUUAAAAAUUAAAUUAAUAAAAUAAUAAAAAUUAAAAAAAAAAAAAAAUUGGGCGUCUUCACCCUCACCCCUUCUGACCCCCCUCCCUUCUCUCCUCUGCACCCACGCUUCCCCCUCCCUCUUCGACUCCACCCAACGCUGCACUCCGAGGAUUGUUGCCAUCCUUUCAAGCCCAAUUUCGCCCCCAAAUAGGCCCGGGCAGUACUUGGCCAUAAACUUCAAGUCGUAGACCCUCUCGAACAAACGACCUGCCAUCUUUGCGAACUCAGUGGGGGAGCUGAGGAUGGUCUUCCUCGUCACCAGCUUCAUUACAUAGGCCGAGUCGUAGAGGCCGUGGAAGCUCACCCAUACGAGCUGCCCCCUGUGCACCCUUAAAAUCUCAACGAAACCCUCCACAAAAAUAUCCGAAUCAAUGCCGAACUUCCCAAAUUUCUCGAGAUCCAAGCCAUUCGCUUUGAGGAGGGCAAUGGAUUCUGGAACAUGGGGGUCGGUUUCCUCGUCAAAACCCCGAAAGUUGAACUCCCAGGUGCCGCCGACGUUGCCGCGGUCGUCGAACAGGGUGAUACCCACUUGGAUGAGAUUGAGAGAAUCGACAUUAAGGGCGAUAUCUUGGUAACGGAGGCCCUUGGAAGUGCCUCUGGGGGUGUUGCGGAGGAACCCCGGAAAUUCGGUGUCGAACGAGACGAUCGGAAAACGGCAGAGACACCGAUCGACGGAGGGAAGGGGAAAGGUGGGUGCAAAGGAGAGAACGGGAGUGGGGUCGGAAGGGGUGAGGAAGAAGAUGCCCAAAUUUUUUUAUUUAUUUAAUUUUUUUAGUUUUUAUUAUUUUAUUUUUUAAUAUGCACGUGUCAUCAUGUCAUUGUCCACGUGGAUAACACAUCAUUAGUUAACAGUAAAUUUAAAGGCAACCUUAAUGAAUGUAUAAAAUUGUUCCAAAAUUAUAACUUUAUGUACCACUCUGAGAUGAAAAAAACUUUAUUUACCAAAUAUUGAAAACAAAAAAACUUUAAGAUAAUAAACUAAUAUUAAUCCUAAAAAACUACUAAAGGAAAGGGUGAAAGAAAAAAUUAUUAGUUUGUGCUGUUCUCAUGGUAAUAGUGGUUUUUGUAUUGUACGAUCAUGUGUUACAUUUUAUGCAUUAUUAUGUGGAUGAAUGAAUAAGUUAAUUACAUCGCAUGUCAUAGGGUGAAUAUUACAUUAAAAAAUUCUUCAUUCUUGUUAUUCGUCAAAUUAAUGGUUGUGCAUUUGUAUGAGGACCUAGAUCUGUUGAGGAUGCAGAUCUUCACUCGUUGAAGGCCAUCCCUAUCUAUCUACUACUACUCUUUGGAAAAUAAUUGACUACAGAUGAUUGUACAAAAAAAUAAUUAAUAUUAUCUGAACAGCUCACCAUGCAUGUUCAGUAAAGUAAAGCGGAUUUGUUUAUUCAUUGUCUAGUUCAAACUUGGGGAGCAUUUUCUCAUUCUUGCGGUGAUCAGAAUAAUGUGAUUUAAGUCCAGUUAAACAUGCUUAAUUAUGCAUUUAAGCAUCUUUUAUUUAUUUGCUUUCAUUAUUUUUUCCUUCUUAAUGUGUUGUUAUUGUUUGGAACAACAAGUAAGACAAAUCUAGCCAGUUAGCAUUCACCGCAUCACCGCAUAAUGAAAGAUUAUUCAUAUUUGGAAAUGAAUAAUUAAUUAAAAAACUGUAUUAUUAAGGCAAAUGGGCACUUAAUAUUUGUAUCUUAAACCUUCCGAGUCGGAUAUUCGAGUAAAUUAGUUAAAAAGCUAUGCAAAAUGUGAAUGUGACAGACUACGUAGUAAAGUUUGGGUUAAGAGAGAGAGAGAGAGAGAGAGAGAGUAUUUCGCAGCCGGCUGGUCCCUAUGUACGGGAAGAAUCAUAGAAAGUUAGGUAACUACACACAUUUUUCAAAGAUGUCGAUCAUGAAAAAUAUUUGAUAACAAAUUCAGGGAGGACAUACUGCUUAAAUUAUUAACCUAGAAAUAAAGUUCGAUCUCUUGCUUUAACUUUUCUGCUACGUAGCUCUUAUUGCAUUAAACAAAGCCUUAUUAAAGUAAAGAUGGUCACACCCUUAGCCCUUUAGGUGAUACGUUCAGGGAAAUGGUUAAUGUUUUUACAAGCUCUUGUUUAUUUUUAUUUUUUAAUAUUUUCAGAUAUUUUUACAAUCUUUUACUGCGCAGUAAUAGAGUGUAAAAAUCAUAUCUAUGUAUUUAUUUAUUAUUAACUAUGUUUACAAUGAACCUUCUAUUCCAUGAAACAAGAUAUAAAAAUAAAAAUAAAAAGGAGAAGGGCAUAAAUUAACAAAAUUCGGUCAAAGGCCGCAUUGGUCCAAACAUUAAUUGAUAAUCUAUGACAAAUAGUCUGGCCCCAUUAGCAUUAUUUUAACAGUAAUAUUGUUUUUUUACUAAGAUAAUUAAUAAUUGCCAAGUGAAAAUUUGGCAUGAGUACCAUUGUGAAGGGUAAAAACCAAAGCUAUAUAAAGGGUGAGGAGGCUUAGCUUCAGAGGCAGACAACCAAAAACCCAUUCUUAACGAAGGAUGGGAAAAAUGGUGCCUUCACAAGUGACCUCUCUUGUGGUCACUCUCCUAGUGGCAAUAGUCUCUCUCACAUUGCCUUCAGAAACUUCAGCUAACUACCCUUACACCUCUCCACCACCACCGGCCUCUCCUCCCUACCAUUACAAGUCACCACCGCCUCCUUCUCCUUCUCCUCCAGUGCACUACUCACCACCUAAGCAUCCCUACCACCCUAAGUCACCACCACCUCCUGUGUACGCACCACCUAAGCAUCCCUACCACCCUAAGUCACCACCACCUCCUGUGUACCCACCACCUAAGCAUCCCUACCACCCCAAGUCACCACCACCAUCACCAAAGCCUUACCACUACAAAUCCCCACCACCACCUCCUGCUCCAGUGCACUCACCACCCCCACCUAAGGAGCCAUACCACUACAAGUCCCCACCACCACCACCCAAGAAGCCCUACCACUACAAAUCUCCCCCACCACCUCCUCCUCCAGUUCACUCACCACCACCACCCAAGGAGCCUUACCACUACAAAUCUCCACCACCACCACCCAAGAAACCUUACUAUUACAAGUCUCCUCCACCACCACCAAAGAAGCCUUACCACUACAUGUCUCCUCCCCCACCGGUGUACUCACCACCUCCACCAGUGCACUCACACCCACCACCAAAAAAGCCUUACCAUUACAAAUCUCCUCCCCCGCCAGAAUAUUCACCAGCUCCACCAGUGCACUCAACCCCACCACCAAAGAAGCCCUACCAUUACAAAUCCCCACCACCACCACCACCACACAAGAAGCCUUAUUACCCUGUUCACUCACCACCUCCACCUAAGAAGCCUUACCACUACAAAUCCCCACCACCACCUUCUCCUACUCCUCCUAAAUACUCACCACCUAAGCACCCCUACCACUACAAGUCUCCACCACCACCACCAAAGAAGCCUUACCAUUACAAGUCCCCACCACCUCCUUCUCCUACUCCCCCUAAAUACUCACCACCUAAGCACCCCUACCACUACAAGUCACCACCACCACCACCCCAAGAAGCCUUACCACUACAAGUCUCCACCACCACCACCUCCUCCAGUUCCCACACCAUCUCCACCCAAGAAACCUUACCACUACAAGUCUCCCCCACCACCCCCUCCAGUCUACAAGUCUCCUCCACCACCAGUUUACUCACCACCACCACCACCUAAGAAACCUUACAAGCCACCAACUCCUCCAGCAGUUCACCCACCACACGGUUACAUCUAUUCCUCACCCCCACCUCCUCACCACUACUAGAUAUUGAAAGUUUAAUUGCAUCAAGCUGGUAAGCUUCUCCAUUCUAUGCUAUUAUUCAUUAAUUAGUUAGUACUACUGUUGUCAAUUUGGAAAUCACCAUACAACCAAAUGCACACUCUGACGAAAUAACAUAUAAAUUCUAAUUGAAUAGUCUUUAUUUCCAUUUUUGGCUAAUAAUCCUUAUUAGCAUAUGGAUAAUGUAUUUCCAACAUAUCGUUAUUAACUUAUUACUCAAUUAAUAUUUCUUUUUCUUUAAAUUCAGUAGCCGUGUGUAACAAAUAGACCAAUGGCAGAGACCCAACAAAUAACAAUAAUAUGUCUUUGCAGGUAAGGGAAGAAGAAAGGUCAGAAUAAAGAGGGGCUGUUGAAGUCGAACAGCGCGC
rnacentral:lncRNA from 1 species